rnacentral:lncRNA from 1 species
UCACGCCCCGCGACCGCUACCAAUUUGGUCCGGCCCGGGCGUAUCGAACAGACGCCGAACGGACAUGACCUCCCCUGUCCGUCCAAGGCUAACCAACAGAUCAUGUAUAAGAAUUUACCCAGGAAUCAAUUAUAAAUACACGAUCGAGAAGCACCACUAGUGCUAACAAAACGAGAGCAAGAUACAAGUAUGAAAAUAUACAAGUACAUAAAGAGAGAAGAUGCUACCUAUUGCAUUCAUUUAACUCAAUACAUUUAAUUACAUCUUUAACAUUCUUCCAAAAUAUAAGUACAAUCUCUCAAACCUCACCCUAUACAUCAUCUACUCUCAAACAUAAUAAAAAGGUAAAGCUAAUGCAAAAGGGGUGGAUAGCUAGUGCAACUAGGGCGCUAGGCCUUUACCGCGAUCCUCGCCGUGUGAACUCGCGCUCGGCCCUGUAGUAAAAAUGGGGGUGAGAACUAACUUCCUUAGUUCCCAGUGGGUUCGGCCGCCGACUCCGCCGAUCUCCCCACUAGGUCCAAGCAGGCAAAAGUAGAUAAUCGAUAGAUAGAUAGAUAAGGAAAGUGGUAAAUGACAGAAAUAAAGCUACGCUACUAUGCCCAAUCAUGAUUAUAUGAAUGCAUGUACAAUGAAAUAGAUAAACAACUAACCCAUUAUCAUGUCCAAAGGUAAAGUUAUUUACUCGUUCAUCAAUCUCAUUCACUCAUUUCUUAAUCUCGUGGCUUCCCUGAAGGAGCCUACUGCUCACUAGCCAUCUCGAAGGUAGGGAGGGUCAACUCGCACUACGAACCGAGACCGUCUGCCGGGGCCCAAAAUAGGCAAUCCCUUGGAACCCAAAAUAGGCAAUCCCACGUGACCAACUCCGGAGCGCACUACUUGUGUGGGGCUUCCAUCACAAGAUUUAAAAAUAGACCGUGAGCAUGAUCCAAUCCUCGUCUCGAGAAUACCCUAUCCUCUAGGGUUACAAUCAUCAUAUAGUCCAUGGGUUGCACAUACUCUACGACUCAUAUGUGUCAUUUGUUCUUUUGCUUAUUAUCAACUAAAUGCCACUCGUUCAUUGUUUAACAUUAGACCAACCGUCGAGCCCAUCUCUUUCUCUGCACUAUAGGAUUCACAAGUCUCGACCCAAUCCUUAUCGAUCCGCUACUAUGUCAAGUAUCCAAUACAUGCUAUGAUAUCAUCAAGGAAAGCAUAAGGAAAGGCAAUGCACAAUUAUCCUAUAAUGCAAUAAUACAAGAUGCAGAAUCAAAAUGUACUAAGACAUAGAAGGAAGCCCGAUUGCUUCGGGAUGGACACCACCCAUGUGACGCCCCAACUUCCCAGGGGGUCACCCAUCCUAGGACUACUCCCGUCCUAGCACGCUUAACUCUCUUAACCUCUUGGGCCUUGCCACCACCCAAAAUGCUUAAGCCGGGUUAAGAGUUUAGCCCUAUUAUAUCUCAUAUAUAGGACUAUCUGGGGUCUCACAACCCACCUCUUGGCGAUGCCACGAUGAUAGAAAACUCGACACUGCGGUCUUUGCACGCCGCUUCAACUCCUCGGGGCGAAGCGAGCCCUCAAGUACCCGAUUUGGCGAUUUCUUCGCACCCGCUCGUCGGAUCGAGAAACCGUCUUCGCCGACGCGUUCCGCGACCUAGCAAUUAGGUUUGCGACCCAUUAAACUAGAUCAAAACCCUAGAUUUCCAAAAAUCCCAAUUCUAUGCCCUAGAAUGGCAACGAGGUAGAAAUCCGUGGUGCGAGCUUCGAUUGCGAGCCCGAACCAUCUAUUCCUCUCCUCUAGGUUCCAUUCGAUCCAUCUCUAAGUCAUAAAACCCAAUCUCAAGAAAUCUACCAUGGAUGGGUUUGAAGCUUACCUCUAUACAAGGCUUUAAGCUAGAGGGAGAGAGGGAGAGGAUGAUCUUCCUCUUCUUCUUAGUCUUCUCCUUCUCUUUCUUCUUCUUUCUUCUCCUUUUUUCCUUCCUCUUCUUCUUCUUCUUCUUCUUUCUCUUUCUUUUCUUCCUAGAGAGAGAGAGGAAAGAGUGUGAGAGAGGGAGCGAGAGCAACUGAGAGGGAGAGAAGGGUCCCCCACCUCUAUUAAAGGCUAUUUUGCAAACAGCCCCCUCAACUUUUCAUCCUUCAAACCAGCCCUCUCUGGGCAUUCUCGCAGUGAGGGACCGGUCCCCGAAGGCUGCCAUUUCGAGCAGAGGGGUUUUCGCGUUCGGGAACUGGUCUUUGCCUGAGAGACCGGUCCCUGGGAGACCGGUCCUUGUCCGAGAGACCGAUUCCCGAGAGCAAUACUUUCGGGACUUAACCAAAUUUCGGCUUCUCUCGCUGGGCCAACGUUCGGGAACCGGUCCCUCACUGUCGGGGACCAGUCUCAUCAGAGACCCCCGCAGAACAGCCUGAUGGGACCGGUCCCUCCCUGUCAGGGACCGGUCCCCGAGAGCAUUUCUGCUCCAGUGCAAGUUUUGCACUGGUGCUCUCGCGGACCUUUCCUCAAUGCACUUUAUGCAUUAUAAUCACCUUCGGACUUUCCGAAGCUUACACACUCGACAAUUGGUCGGUUCUAGUCGAAGUCUAAUCCUCGUAUUUCGAGAAUUCACUUCCUUACACUAGUCCACUUCUAAGUCUUCUAAACCUAUAAAUAAGCCAUGGGGGUCAUCAUAUGAUAUUAUGCUUAGAAUUUCUACCUUUCUAAAACCCUAGAAACUUGUUUUCAUGAUUCGAUCUUUAUAACGAGUUUCGGAUUAUCAACCAUCGACUUGAUUCUUAGGUUUUAACUUGAGAAUUUCUUCGAGAAUUGAUGGAUGAUUAGAACGUGAACCCUCAUCGCUUACGCUAUUCUAAGUUUUAAUAACCACAAAUCGUCUACUCUACGAGCUCCGGACGGAGGAGUUGCAUGUGGAUCGUGUGUGAGGCCGAGGAUUCGGUGGACGCAUCGAGGAGUCGAGGCGUUCACGCGGCAAGGACUUGCGGCGUGAUCGGUUGGAGGAUUCCAAGCGAUCGUGGACCAGCGAAGACAAUCUACAACGAGGAUUCGGUAAAUUGAGUCGUGUAUUUUCAUUGAAUCAUUUGUACUCAAGUAUUCUUAGUGGAUUUCUUCGUCUGAUCAGUCCCGUGGGUUUUUCUCUCCAAAUUGGAGUUUUCCCACCUUCUCGGUGUGCUAUUUUUUAAAUUUCCACUAUUUUAUUUUAUUCGCAUCGAGAGUUUGUGUUUUAGCCAUUUACACCUAUUCACCCCCCUUUAGGUGUUAUUUACCUUUUAGAUCCUCGGGAUCCAUAUCUUACAAGUGGUAUCAGAGCGGGUAUAGGUUGUAAUUCAUGGCCGAGGGCGAUAACAUUAAUCGACCCCCUCUCUUUGAUGGCACUAAUUACGCGUAUUGGAAAGUCCGUAUGAGGGCGUUUUUUAUUGCCAUCGAUGAGUGGGUUUGGCAAGCCGUUGAAUUCGGGUGGAAACAUCCUACCAAAGUUGUCGAGAAUGUUAUCGCGUCCAAACCUAGAAAUAAGUGGACGAAAGACGAAAACGAACUAUCUUCGUUCAACAAAAAGGGUAUCAACGCUUUGUUUAAUGCCUUAAACCAAACCGAAUUUUCUCGAGUUUCGGCGUGUGAAACCGCCAAAGAAAUUUGGGACACUUUGCAAGUUACACAUGAGGGUACAAGCUUGGUAAAGAUUCAAAAAUUAGAAAUGCUUACAAGUAGAUUUGAUUCUAUACGUAUGGAAGAACAUGAAUCCUUUACCGAGUAUUAUACUCGUUUGCAAGACAUUGUAAACACGUGUGCUAACUUAGGCGAGAAGAUUCCGGACUCCAAAAUUGUUAGAAAAAUUUUGAGAACCCUUCCCGAACGUUUUCGUCCUAAGGUUGCGGUAUGUAUUAGAUUUCUUCUCCUGGAUAAAUUUUUGUACAUGAUCUCGUUGCUUAGCCUUGGGCGGACAGGGGAGGUGCUGUCCAUUCGGCGUCUGUUCGACGCGCCCCGAACCGGACCAAAUUGGUAGCGGCGUCGGGACGUGACAGAGAGAGAGGGUGUAAGUGAGAGGAAAAUGAGGGAAAGAGAGCACUACUACAAGUACAAAAUUUAGUGGCGACAAAUGUCGCCACCAUAGCUAAUAAUGUCACCACGGAAAACGAUUUGGCGGCGACAAUCCGUCGCCGCAUGCUGCCGCCUAAAACCCCUUCGCUAAAACUAUUUGGUGGCGACAACAGGUCGCCGCUAAAAGUUAGAUAAUUAGCGGUGACAUGUCGUCGCCGCGAUAUAUUAGCGGCGACAUUCCGUCGCAGCUAAAACCCCGAUGGAUCUGGACCAGGAUAUUUGGUGGCGAUAAUUUGUCGCCACUAAAAGUUAGAUAAUUAGUGGCCCGCUACUUAUGACUAGUUUUAUGGUGGCGACUAUUGUCGCCACCAUUUUUCUAAUAUAAAAUUAAUUUUUUAAAAAAACUAAUUGGUAGAUAUAGAUAUUAUUGAUUUAGUAUAAAUUGCUAAAGAAAUAACCUAUAGUUAAUUUUAUUUCUCAUUAUUAACUUUUAACCUUUAAUUUUAAUUUAAUCAUCUCAAAACGAAAUAAAAUUUGGGACAAACAAACCACAGAUCAACAAGCAGAAAUCCUACAUUUUGCAUCGAAUUGUGUCUCUCACAACAGAAAGAAGUUUGGAUCAACAUAUAUAAGUAAGACUGAACCAUCAUAUAUAAGUAAUACAAUCACCCAACACAACCAAAGAACAAAACACGAUAAUAGUGUUUUUUGUCAUUUCCACAUUCAGUUAAAUGUAAAGUUUUCAAAAUAUAUCUAAAUUCUUAAACUUGAUUUAAUAUAUCGCCAAUGACCUGCCAAAAUCUCGUCACCACCUCUUAUAAAUCUGUAAAUAAAAUUAAAGAAAAAUUGGAUUUUCAACAUUUGUUGAUCCUUGAAUUGAUAACGCAUACAAUAUAAGAAUAAAAAAGCCAAGUACGUAGAUAACAAUAUUGACUAUGAACUAUAUAACAGAUAGAAACCGACAUUAAUUAAUUCAAUUCAUGUAACCAAAUAUUACACAAAAAGAACAUACAAAACAGUAAGAUACGAAUGCGAAUGAAGUAACAAGUUACUAAUGUGAAUGAAGUAACAAGAAAUAAACAUUUCAAUCACAAACAAAACAUCAGAUUUGAAGCGCUUCAAAUCUUAUUUUCUUAAUCGUAUGGGAUUAGGUAUGAUCCCAUUUUCGGCCAAAGUAAUCAAAAUUCCGAGUGAAUAAAAUGGUACUGCUCAUCUUUGAAUGGACUGAAUGUGAGAGUGUUGGCUGAAUCCUUUGGAUGGUCCAAGGGAAGAACAAAUUGUUAACCAAAUGGACCCCAAAAGCAGGCACAAAUUGUUCACAUACAAGCACGGUUAGAAACUAAAUACAAGAUGAAAUUGGCACUUUGCAUAGUGCAUAACUGCAUGCUAGCAUAUCUAAAUUCUAAAGUCUAAACAGUAAACAAAUAAAAGAUACAUAAAGUUCACUAUUACGUCCUACGGCGGUCGCAACAAGUACAAUACAAAGGUUCCCAACCAAGGAACAGUACUCAGCACAGAAUUGCAUCAGGAAGGUAUCAAUCAACAUAAAACACGUAUCUAUGAGUAUUACAUCCAUUAUUUUACAUCACAUUCCAUUACAUUCAACUUCCAUACAAUUAGUUUUUAAACAUUUAUUGAUGACAAUUUGAUACAUUUGCUUGCUUUUAUUUCUAUACCCAUAGCUACGACGACGGCGGUACUGCUAGUCUGUUUUUUUUUCCCCUUUCUGGGUGUUUUAGGCGAUAUCUACGAAGCUACGCCCUUGUCCUCGCCCGCCGCCGCGCCGCUCAGUUGCGAACCUGUAAAACUCCAAAAACACGUGGUGAACCAACUCCAUGGUCCCAGUGGGUACGGCCACCCAAGAGGAGGCUCGCACCACAGCGUCCAAGGGAGGGCAAUACAAGUUAGCUCAAUAAAGCGAUAGUAUGUAUAUCAUAAACAUGCAAACUACUUUACCCUGUUUGCCUCACAACUUGCAAUGAUGCCAUGACUAUAUGCAACUAGGAAUAUAUGGCAACGAUGAAUAUAUGCAACAACUUAGAAUUAUUGAUUCUACAAUCAUCUCAUAUCUUAGCUCAUGAUCAGUUUAACUCUAGGUUUCCAAAUACGCUUAGGUUUAACACAUUUACCACUAGCCUCAAGGUGUUAUCUACUUAUUCGCAGACUUAGCACCCGACUCGCCUCGGAGGCAAUCAACAGCGGACAAUCGCGCUCUGCCCGGUUGAGGUGAGGGAUCGUCGACAUGCACUCGCCUGCAACUAAGAACAGAUCGCAACGCGUCGCCCGAAAGGUCCAAGAAUGCCCACCACCCAGUGAGUCAGGAGAUCGCAAGUGGAGAGAAGAGGAAAACAUAGACGCGAUCACCAAAUCAGCAAGAAUAUCCACCAGCAUACGGAACGAAGAGAACAUGUCAGUACCACCUAAAGCGACUCUUAAAUAUUCUUGCUUAGACUCAAUAAAUCCUCAAGUCUCCUACAGUCCAAGGAUGGUGAGAAGGAAAAAACAAUCGCCGCAAAAUAGAACCAGCCCGGUCCAAAGAACUAUUGCGCUUCAACAAGUACUAAGCGAUUACCGUAAUCGAACUUCACAAUCCAAAGGCCGAUAUCAUUCACAACCAAUAUACUAAUUGCACAUAACUAGGUCAAUGCACUUAAUCCACCAAUAGGUACCAACGAACUACAUAGGUCUUAUGACCCUCAAUUCACAACCAUAAGGAUUUACACUUAACUUACAGGUUCGAGUUCUCAACUAAUGUUUGAUAUAACAACUAAACAGUUAGAUGCACCAAAACUAAGAUCACCGAAUCUAGAGUCCAUAACAUUCAACACAUAAACUUCUUUAACACUAGACUAGCAUGCCACUCGUAUAAUUUAUCCAUAGGUCUCUCAACAACACUAGGUUAGAUGUCAUCUAUGUUCCGACACAUGUUUUUAACACAUAGGUUAAAUGCCACACCGACUCACUCUACAACAUUUAGAAAUAAUAAAUAUUUGUCAUAUCAGCAGUAUUCUACAGUUACCAAUACUAUAUACUUAGAAUCAACUACUUGACAAUAUCUUUCAUUAAAUAUAUCAAUGACAUGCAUUAUCCUUAUACUUAUAGCUUACUAAUGUAUAUCAUGCUUCUCUAGCAUACAUAAUAAACCAUGCAAUUAGCUAAGCAUAUAUUCUACACCCAAUAUAAAAAUAUAUCCAUUAUUAAUGCAUAUAUAUUACUACAAUUACGUCACAAUAUGCAUUAUCAUCUAGCAAUUACCUUAUAUCGCAUCAACAAUGGAUUCUUAACUUGAUUAGUACAGAAAGGGGCGAUCUAGUCGCUUCCGGUAAACACAACCCACCUUAACUCGGCGUGCCGACAUUGACUCAGUCAGUCACUAUGCAGAUCCAGGCAACAUCCACAGCAUCGGCACCCGUUUGAGGGCCCCGCCCCAGAUCUAACAGAUAUUGCAUCGUCAACACGAGACGCGUCGCAUUCUGCCAGUUUUCAAGUGCUACGAUCUUGCACUCGCCAGUUACGAUGCUCGCGGCACCCAAUUUCACUGAUUUAUGGACGUCGACCACGGAAAUUCCACGGCCUGGAACGAAGCAUCCAAGCGUCACUUUCUUCAACUAUCUUAAUUUUGUAACGGACUCAGUACGGCGCCCCCAUUGCGAACACGACUUUCGCCAACGAUGUUUGGUUUACCUAUCAAAAUUAGAUUUACGGACGGGUAUCUUGAAUUCAAAACAUCUAUUCCAAAAUCCCCAUUUAUUGAGCCAUAAGUUUGAGACUACGCAAAAUACACCAAUCGCAAUCUCCAGAUUCAUUGCCCAAUAAACAUCUAUCUAGCGCAUCAAAGGGAAAACACUAAUAAUCUACAACUUAUAAGAAGCAAAUAUAAGACCUAUUUCUAGAGAUAUACCAAUGAGAAGAAAGAGUAACACAAAGACCAUUCCUCACCUCAUCCAUAAGGCUCUGCUCAAAAGCGCUUUUUUAGCGAAGACGAAGGAAGCGGAUUGAGAAUCCCCUUCAAUUGAUCUAAAUCCUUCUCUAUCGUCUUCUUUCUUACUAACCUUCUAAUUUCAUUCUCUUCUUCCUUAACUUUCGAAUUUAGAGAAGAGAGAGAGCGCACGGUACUGCGGGACUGAAAGAAGAAGGAAAUCGAGUAAAACCCAGCUUCUAAUCACUCUAAUAGAUAAGCAAAAUGCACUUAGCACCAACUAAAAAGACAAUCAAAUGAUUGAAACAGGACCAAGAAAUGACGCAAAUAUUUCACAAAGAGAGAGAAUAAGAAGAAAAAACAGUACUCUACAUGAACGAGACCAGAAUAAUUCUAACCUACUGGAGACGGUCCAGAGAAGCCUCCAGAACCCAGAACCUUAGCAAAAUUUUCAAGCUAUACAGUACCAUUACGCCCUCAGAUUUUCGCCACAAGUUUUGUUCCUGACCUCCGAUUCGUCAUUACAUCGAAACCACGCGAACCUCCAAACAUAAGAUUAUUACAAAAAAUCAAGAUAUAUUCACGCAUCCUUUCCAUCUCGCAUAAUGACAGUUUAAGACCUACAAAAACGGCCCAAUUUAGCCUUAUCAAGAGGUUAUAUCGUUUUCCGCGCCUACAGACGACCCACCGACACGAAAAAAAAACAAAAAAAAAAACAAAAAAAAAAAAAAAACACAAACGAUUGAUACCUUUAACACAUAACACACAGAACUUAACACAAGAAACCCAUUCAAAUGGCAUUAUACAAACCAUCAAUAUACACCAUAAAAAAAUAUCAUGCAUAUAUUAAGGAAGAUCCCAACAGAAAAAAAAAAAAAAAAAAAAAAAAAAAAACCCACAAACACAACCCGCGAUACCCAUUACACACAGAUAAUACAUGAAAGAAUAGAACAAUCAGACCAAUAGAGCAAGAGAAAAAAAAGAUAGAAUCCUACACUCGCUUAGCGAGUAUUACGUAAAGAAAACCAGGAAAUAGAAAUUCAAGCGGAAAGCUGCAGCAGAUCAAAAUCGAACCAUAAAUUAAAGGAAAUGCGAAACGAAACUAUCUACGAUAAUUAAGAAUAUAAGAGGAUAACUUUGUAGACAAAUAGGUUAAAAUGAAAAAAAUACAUAGUCAUUUGAGCGUUUUCAACUCAAAAUGAUAAUUUUAUGAUAGCAUUAUCCCGCUUACGAGAUAAUAGAUUAACCUUUAUAGGGAACAUAUACAUAGAUCAAAAAACGGAAAAAAAAAAAAAAGAUAGAAACUAGAAGAAAUUUAUAUUACCAAAAAAUCAAGCAACUAAAAAUGUACCGCGAAAAAGAGAAGACAAUAUCAGAGAGAAUAACAGCAUGGACGGAAGAUUUUUCUACGAAAGAUUAUGCUCAACAUAGGACAUAAGACACUCGGCCAUACUAAAAAAAAAAAAAAAUAAAAAAAAAAACAAAAAAAAAAAAAAAAAAAAUGAAUAAUACGGAAACAGAGGCUAUGUAACCCCAUAGGACACAGUCGAUGAAUGGUUGUAUUUUUACGGAACAACCAUCAAAACUUAUUCUGUGCACACAUGCAUAACGAGACUAAAAAAUGUACCAACUGAGACAGAAAACUUACUGUACACGUAAAUAAAUGCAAAUAUAUAUUAAGAUAGAAAAAAUGCAAAAAAAUAUAGAGUUUCGAUUAUACUACCAAAACGUAACUUAGAAACUUAUACAAUCAAUAAUACAACUUGAAAAACAUCGAUAGAUUCAUAAAAAUCUAUAAUUAAGUUAGAAUCACAAUUAAACACAAUGAAAUUAAAAAGAAUAUCACCUAAGCAAUCAAGUCAGAUAAAUUAGUAUAUUACAGAUGUUUUGCUAUCACUUUCGAUUUUCGAAAGAAAUUCUUAGGAAAUUACUUCAGCAUACAUAUUCCAUACAUCGUAUACCGCCGACAUUAUUCAGACUCACGACACAUGACCCACGAAAACUACUCCAACAAACAUAGGAAACCUAACAAAUAUACCAUAUGGAGAACAUGAUCAACAAUUUAAAGAAGUAUAAAUAUACUACCGUUAACCAAAUGCACGAAACAUAAUUGUACAAAAAUAACAGAAUGUGAACUAAACUUCGUACAGCACAGAGAAGGAUCUCCAAGAAGAACUACCAAAACUUACGUUCAGAAAAUUAAAAUUUGAAGACCUUCAACCCGAACGUAUUAUAAGUAACACUAUAAGAGUUGCAAAAGAAACAUAAAAAUGUAAUUGAAAAUAAUUAAUUAAAACAAUACAGACAUGGGACAGGGGAGGUCCUGUCCGUUCGGCGUCUGUUCGACGCGCCCGGGCCGGACCAAAUUGGUAGCGGUCUCGGGGCGUGACAAGGAAACUAGUCACUUACCUCUAGGAUGCUCCAAACCAAGCUCAAAACCAAGUAGGGUUAAAGUUUGAUCCUCCACGAAGCUUCAACCACAAGCUCCAAGCCACCAAGGUAAGAAAUGAGGUUGGGGAAGAUGCUCCAAAGCCUCCAAGCUAGCUCUCUUCUACUACUCCUCUUCUUCUCCUUCUUCUUCUCUUUCUAGAGAGAGUGUAGAGAGAGUAUGAGGGAGAGAAAUGAGGGAAAGAGAGAAGAGAAAGGCUCUAAAAGCCUUCUAACGUAACAGAAUCCUGAUAAGCCCCUCAACAAUCCAAUCUGCACACUGCCCGGGUUUGGGCAGUUUUCGUCCAAAGGGACCGGUCUUUCCCUACCUGGGACCGGUCUCUCGGUUCGUCCCGCAAAACCAACGUUCGAGAACCGGUCUCUCCCCACAUGGGACCGGUCUCUCCCCGCGUAGUCACGCUCGGGGACCGGUCUCAUCCGCCAAGGACUGGUUGCCUCAAGUCCUGCCGCAGCACUGUUCCGGGGGGACCAAUCUCUCCCACCAGGGACCGGUCCCUGAGAGUGAAAACAAUCAGGACUUGGCCAAAAUCGAGAAAUCGAACCUUUAGGUCGGAAUACCAUCAACGACCUUCCACCAAGUAUGAAAAAGUUCGGAAUCCAUCCAAUCACUCAAACCUCGCAAUUUGCGCAGGUCCAGUGUGUUACAGAUACUAAACUAUUACAUCCAUUCAACUUUUAUACAUUUGAUUAACUUUACAUUUACAUCUCCCAAAAUAUGAUACAAAUUCACCUCCACAUUUAGAUACAUAUUCAUCUCACAUGCAUAAGUACUCUCCAAAAUACAUCCCAAAAUAUACAUGAUCAUCUGUGUACACGAGGGUACUCUAAAUGCAAGUACAAAAUGCUACUAACUAAGCUAGGUACCAUCAGUACGAGCUCUGAUACCACUUGUUAGAUAUGGAUCCCGAGGAUCUAAAAGGUAAAAGACACCUAGAGGGGGGUGAAUAGGUGUAAACGGUAAAUAUCAAGAAACUCGAUGCCACGCACUGAGGUCUUAAAGAUGAACGGUCCACCAUCGGAAUCUUCCAAAUAUCCUGCUCGCAUAUAGAAUUCCCGAAUUAAUUCCAAACAAUAUCUAGUUUGUUCGGGAAAGUUGCUAAUUUCAUAGAGACCCCCGUUCUCAAAUAAGUCUUGAAGACCAGGAACUCGGUCAAUCAAGUUCUGAACUCCAACGUGGCGCUCACCAAUACAAUUCUUCGAAGAGUACAUAGAGCGUCUCUUCGGAUCAACGGUGCCUUCCUGAGUACUGCGACGAGGUAAAUGAGCAGUAGGUUCACGAAUUUCAAUACCACCAGUCUUCUUCUUACUACGAGAGUAUGUCAAUUUUUCCGUUCCUUUGCCUGUGGCUUUGCUCUGUCUUUUUUCCUUUUCUGUAACUACCUUUUCCUUCCCUUUCUUCUUUGUCGACACCACUUCCGGAGAGAGUGCUUCCCAAUCUGUCGACUCAGUUUCUGAUUCUUCAUCAGGAGCAUAUUCACUGCCGACAUCCUCAACUAGUGGCUCGACAUGUUGCUGAGUCGAAGUACGCUGGCGCUUACCACCACGACCACCACCAGCCAUGAGGAACGCAAGCACAAUUAAAAGUGAAUACAUUAUGGUUAUCGAAAGAGAUCCCUGUUUCAACAAAUUAAAGGAAAACAUAGAUAUCAUUCAGAUUUUUUUUAAAAAAAAUGAAAUAUAGGGCCAUAUGGAAAAAGGCAAAAUGAUGUAUCAAGAGAAUGAAGAAAAACAUGAGGAGAUCGAGAAUCACAAGGAUAUUCCAGAGAUCAAUGAUUAGAAACACGAUACCAAACAAAAUCUCAUAUCAAAACCACCAAAACACAAUCUCGGAAUGUAUAUGCAAAAAUAAAACCUAAAAAGAAAACUUACCAAUCAAAGCAAAGAAAAACGGGAAGAAGCAGAGCAAACACCCUCUGGAACCCUAGACCAGUCGUGGGAAGAAUUUUAGACAAAAUGGUAAAGUAAGAGAGAGAGACCGGACCAACAAUCGUAUAUAGGCACGGGCGGAGAGACCGGUCCUUCAAGACAGGGGACCGGUCCCCGUACCAAAAAAUUUCCCCUUUUUUUUCAUUUAAAAAAAUGAUGUUCCAAUGACAUAUAAUAUAAAUUUUUAAAUAUGGCAAACAAAAUCAAUUUCAAAAAUAUUCAAAAUGUCAAUAUUCGUUGAACAAAUAGACGAUUCAAAUUCUAAAUGGGUAUAAUGCUAAAAUCCACACAUCAAUUAAGAUCUAAAAAUUAAUCGUCUCGUAUUGUCUUCAUAAUUGCUAAAUAGAGGAAUAAAAAGAUCCCGUAAUCAUGAAAUUAAGAUAGGAUGAUCAAAUUGAGUUAUGCACCAAAUUCGACAAGGAAGUGGCUCUUUAAGCAUCUUUUCACUAUCCAUCUUAUAUCACCUAGGAGAUGUAUUGUAAGUAACUCAUGCUUUAUCAUCUCCAAAGCACCUUUUUAAACCCUUUUUUUUAAUAUAUAUAUCACCGGACAUUGUUGGCUUCUUUAUCAAUUGAGAUGCUUUAAACAGACAUGUGGUAGCUGCACACACGUACCGGACGACCGGAGUGGUAGCUCUUUCCUUCAUGUGGUGGUAGUUUUCACACUCCCAUGAGGGAUGUAACUCUUUCCACAUCUUUUGACAUUCUAAUUUAAUUCCAGGAAAAACACCCCCUAAAUAAGUGCAACCCUCAAAUUGACGAUGUUAUCACAAGUUCAAAAAUAGGAAAAUCUUUAUUCAUAUCAAAGCUCAUAAUCCAACAAGACAAAGAUAAUGUUUAAAGUUCAAAAAUGAGGUGUUGAAUUUAGCAAAUUAUACUAAAAUAGAAUUUAAAUGAAUCUAUCUUUUCAAAAAUAUGACACAGAGAAUAAAAAAUGAUAUUGACCAAGCUAAACACAUUAUAAAUAAUGAAAAUCAUGUCAUGGAUAUCACAAAAAUGAUCAAGUAAAAACGACAGAUAUGCAAAAGAUCUAUGGCCCAAAAACUAUAUCUAAACAGAUGGAUUCAUACCAAUAGCCUUUCGCAAAUGAAGAAAACGUUUUUGAUCUAAAGGUUUUGUCAAAAUAUCAGCAAGCUGAUUUCCAGUAGAAAUAUAUUCAAGAUGAAGAAGAUUUGAUUCGACUAGUUCUCUUAAAAAAUGAUAUCUGAGUUCAAUGUGUUUCGUUCGAGAAUGUAAAACAGGGUUUUUAGAAAUAUUAAUUGCACUUGUGUUAUCACAAAGAAUAGUAAGAGUGGUGGAUGGGAUCUGAUAGUCGCUCAGUAAGCUCUUCAUCUAUAACAACUGAGUAGAGCAACUACAAGCAGAAAUAUACUCGGCCUCGGCAGUGGAUAGUGCAACAAUUCUGUUUCUUGCUAUGCCAAGCGACAAGACAAUGUCCGAGAUAGAAACAUGCUCCACUAGUACUCUUCCGAUCAUCGGCAGAGCCAGCCCAGUCUGCAUCCGAGUAUCCAAUCAGAUCAAGAGAUGUUCCCAUAGGAUACAAGAGACCAUAAGCGGUUGUACCUUUAACGUAUCGAAUAAUCCUUUUGACCGCUUUUAGAUGAAUUUCCUUAGGAUUAGCUUGAUAGCGAGCACAAAUGCCAACGCUGAAGGCAAUAUCUGGUCUACUCGCAGUCAAGUACAACAGGCUUCCUAUCAUGCUUCUGUAUAAUUUCUCAUCCACGCUAGGUCCCUCUGAAUUCAAUCCAAGUCCUUUGUUACUUGUACCCAUUGGAGUGUCAAAAUCCUUUGCGUUGUCCAAUCCAAAUUUCUUAACCAAAUCUUUCGCAUAUUUGGAUUGACACAAGUGUAUUCCAUCUUUAGUUUGUUUGACUUGAAGUCCAAGAAAAUAGUUAAGCUCCCCCAUCAUUGACAUCUCAAAUUCGCUUGUCAUCAACUUUGCAAAAUCAUUGGCAUCUUUAUCCUUAGUUGCUCCAAAGACGAUGUCGUCAACAUAAAUUUGUGCCACGAUGAAAUUAUCUUUCGAGUGUUUAACAAACAGAGUUCUAUCCGCUCCCCCUCGGUUGUAGCCCUUUUCCAAAAGAAAUUUUGUCAAACGCUCGUACCAUGCCCGCGGAGCCUGUUUAAGACCAUAAAGUGCCUUUUUCAGACGAAAAACAUGAUUAGGAAAUUUUGAAUCUAUGAAACCUUUCGGUUGUUCAACAUAGACUUCCUCUUUUAGAAAACCGUUUAGAAAAGCACUUUUAACAUCCAUUUGAAAAAGAGUAAUUUUAAAAUGACAGGCGAUCGCGAACAGAAUACGAAUUGAUUCAAGACGAGCAACCGGGGCGAAGGUUUCCUCAAAAUCUAUUCCCUCAACUUGUGAGUAGCCUUGAGCAACUAGUCUUGCUUUAUUUCGAACAAUGGUACCAUCCUCAUUUUUCUUAUUCUUAAAAAUCCACUUGGUACCAAUUAUGUGUUGUUGCUCAGGACGUGGCACCAAUUCCCAGACAUCAUUACGCGUGAAUUGACCAAGUUCGUCUUGCAUAGCAUUAAUCCAGUAUUCAUCGAGAAGAGCUUCAUCAACAUUCUUUGGCUCCACUAAAGAAACAUAGCAAGCAAAUUCACACUGAAGCUGUCUCCUUGUUUUCACACCAGUAAGAGGGUCUCCAAUAACAUUUGACAAUGGGUGAUCUUUCACAGGUGUAAGUUCAGAUGAGGUGAUAGGGGUUUCAGAUGAAUCAUGUGAUGCAAUAGUAUCAAUAGUUUCAGCAGAAAUAUCAGGCACAGAAAUUUCAUCAAUCACAGGCAAGUUAAAUGGAGAAUCAUUAUCAUCAUCACUCAUCAAAGCAUUUGAAGAACCAUUCACAGAAGAUCCUACUGAAGAAGCUUCAUCUACUUUUAUAUUAAUGGAUUCUAUCACCGUCUUAGUACGUAAAUUGUACGCACGAUAUGCACGACUAGAAGUAGAAUAUCCAAGAAAGAUUCCUUCGUCACUUCGGGAGUCAAAUUUUCUAAGAUUUUCACGAUCCCGAAGGAUAAAACAUUUACUCCCGAAGACACGAAAGUAUUUAAUAUUCGGUUUUCUGCCAAUCCACAAUUCAUACGGAGUGUUUAAAGUACCCGGGCGUAAAUAGAUGCGGUUAAUCACAUAGACAGCCGUGUUAACUGCUUCAGCACAGAAGUGUAGUGCAACUUUCUUGCUAUGAAGCAUAACACGGGCCAUUUCUUGAACAACCCGAUUUUUACGUUCAACCACUCCGUUCUGUUGUGGUGUAUAGGGAGCAGAGAAUUCAUGUUUGAUGCCUUUUGAAACAUAGAAAUCAACAAAUUUUGAAUUUAUGAAUUCUCCCCCUUGAUCACUUCGAAUGCGUACAAUUUUAUCAUUCCUUUCAUUCAUAAGACGAAGACAGAUUUCAGAAAAAGAAUCAAACGUAUUAGCUUUUUCACGUAAGAAGGCACUCCAUACAAAACGAGUAAAAUCAUCAACAAUAAGCAAAAUAUAUUGUUUUCCACCCAAACUUUGAAUUCUAGAGGGUCCCAUCAAGUCCAUGUGGAGUAGCUCUAAUGGUUUGGAUGUCCCUAAGUGAUUCAAAUUCUUAUGUGUGGAUCUAGUUUGCUUUCCCAAUUGACAACCCCCACAAACAGUGUUCUCCUUGAAGUCUAUCUUAGGUACACCUCUAACAGCCUCCUUCUUAGUUAUCUUAGAUAGUUCCUUAAAGUUCAUGUGACCUAGACAUUCAUGCCAUAAAGUUUCAGUCUCUAAUGUCGCUAGGUUGCAGUGUUCAGUCAUAGAACUAGGAACUACAUAGCAGUUAUUCUCAGAUCUAACACCCUUUAAAAAAAUGUCAUCAUUACGAGUCACAGUGCAUUCUUUGUCAGAAAAUUUCACAGAGUACCCAUCAUCACACAACUGACUUAUGCUUACGAGAUUUGAUUUGAGCCCCUCAACAUAAAAGACAUCAUUCAAAGUAGGGCCAUCUGAGAUAGUGACAGUUCCUUUUCCAACAAUUUUUUAUGACCAACCAUCUCCAAAAACAACCAGUCCACCGGAAAUUUUGUUUAAAGAAGCAAACCAAUUUUUAUCACCGGUCAUAUGACGUGAACAGCCACUAUCCAAAUACCAAGAAGUAUUGUCGUAAGCAUGAAGCGAAGUGUGAACGACAAGGCAAGGAAAGAGUUCACCUUUGCGCACCCAAACCUUACGUGUUUUGGGUUGCGUUGUCCGACUUGAUUGAGAUACUCUUUACUUGUCGAUGAUUUGUGUAGUUCUUUUCUUUGGAUCAUUCUUCUUAGGCAUCCACGUUUGUCUUGCCUUUGUCUUUGGUUCUUCCUUCUUCAGUUGUUCCUUUGGUUUCCUAUUCAUGAGUGUUGUAGCAUUUUUCGGCUUUUGUUUACAAAAUCUCUUCACAUGGCCUACAACACCACAAAGAUGACACGUUUUGUUAGCAAAAGAGUUUUUGGGGGGAACAAACUUACCAUAGACCUUCAGAAUCGGUUUUGUGGAGUGUUCGUCUACUUUCUUCAUUACUUGAUCGACAUAUGUCCGUUCGUAUCCAAGUCCGAAUUUGUUGGUUUGACUGAGUCCUAACAUCUUAUCAAGUUUGCUUGACCUGGACGAAAACUUGUUCAAAUCCGAUUUGAGUUGAAUGAUAGUCUUGGUAAAUUCCAUGUUGGAUUCUCUUGCUUCCGUGUAUUGCUUGGUAAGAAAAUCAAUGUUUUCAACCAAAGUUUCCUUUUCCUUCUCAAGCAGUACACAUUUGUCCAAUAAAGUAUUAUAUGACUCGGUCAAAGUGUCCUUUUCCUGCUCCAAACUUUUUGUCAAUGACUCUAAUCUUGUAUUGUCUUGGUCUAGAUCAUACAAUCUUCGUCUCAACUUCUUGUUAUGUUUCGCCACUUUCUUUGAUUCAAUAACAAGUUGAUGAUAUGCGGCGGCCAUAUCUUCUUCUUCCGAUUCUUCAUCCGUCGAGUUUUCCGUAGAGGAUUUUUCAUGCAAAGAGGACAUAGAAAUUGAGUCAGUCGAUGCUAAACACAUAAAAGUAGAAUCCUGUGCAAUAAGUGCAGUGGCAUUAACGUCAUCAUCACUUGAGGACGAUUCGUCGGAUGAGGACUCAUCCCAAGUAAUGGCUUGCAUUGCUUUCUUUUUCAAAGACUUUUUGUUAGGACAAUCUGAUGCAAUAUGACCAAAACUCCUACACUUAUAGCAUUGGAUUUGACCUUCGCUACUUUUCUUUUCUUUUGUAAAAUCUUUUUGAAAAUUUUCUGAUUUUUUAAACUUUGAAGAAGAGGAAGGGGAACUCCCUUUUGAUUUGUUUGGCUUAGAGGAAGUUGGCUUCGAAGAAAAGUUCUUUCUAAAAUUCCGACGGAAUUUCUUAGUCAAAAGUGCCAUUUGUUUCUCAAACUCUUCCAAGGUUACGUCAGAGUCCGAGUCUGAUGAAGAAGAUUCCACAUUGCCUCCUUUGGUUGAUUUUAACGCCAUACCUGAAGCUUUAGAAGACAACUUGGAAGAAGAUGAAUUAGCAGGAAAAGUCAUUUCAUAAGUUUGAAGAGCACCAACUAAUUCAUCUACUUUGAGUUCAUCCGAAUGUUUUACCGUUUCUAUGGCCGCAACCUUGGGACGAAAACGUUCGGGAAGAGUUCUCAAAAUUUUUCGAACAAUUUUUGGUUCAGAAAUCUUUUUACCCAAAUUUGCACAAGUAUUGACAAUAUCUUGAAGACGAGUGUAAUACUCGGUAAAGGUUUCAUUUUCUUCCAUACGAAUAGAAUCAAAACGACUAGUCAACAUUUGUAAUUUCUGAACCUUUACCAAGCUUGUACCCUCAUGAGUGAUUUGUAAGGUAUCCCAAAUUUCUUUGGCAGUUUCACACGCCGAAACUCGAGAAAAUUCAGUUUGAUUCAAAGCAUUGAACAAAGCAUUGAUACCCUUCCCAUUGAACGAAGAUAGUUCGUUUUCCUCUUUUGUCCACUUAUUUCUAGGUUUCGGACCGGUAACAUUCUCGACCACUUUAGUAGGAUGUUUCCACCCGAAUUCAAUGGCUUGCAAAACCCUCUCGUCGAUAGCAAUAAGAAACGCCCUCAUAUGGACUUUCCAAUAUGCGUAGUUAGUGCCAUCGAAGAGAGGGGGUCAAUUAAUGUUACCCCCCUCGGCCAUAGAUUACAACCUAUAUCCGCUCUGAUACCACUUGUUAGAUAUGGAUCCCGAGGAUCUAAAAGGUAAAAGACACCUAGAGGGGGGUGAAUAGGUGUAAACGGUAAAUAUCAAGAAACUCAAUGCAAAUUUAAAAUAACAUGCGAAAAAUAAAAUCAGCACACCGAGAAUUAACGUGGGAAAACUCCAAACAGGAGAGAAAAACCCACGGGACCGAUCACACGAAGAAAUCCACUAAGAAAACAUGAGUACAAGUGAUUUAGCAAAAAUAUAAGACUCAAAAUACCGAAUCCUUAUUGUAGAUUAUCUUUGCUAGUCCACGAUCGCUUGGAAUCCUCCAACCGAUCACACUGCAAGUCCUUGCAGCCGCACACGCCUCGAUUCCACGAAACGCCCACCGAAUCCACGGUCUCCACGCGAGAUCCACGCGCUAACGCUCCAUCCGAAGCUCGUAGAAGUUCAACAAUUUGUGGUGAUUAAAGAUCUUUGAAAGCACAUAUAAUGUGAGGAGAAACUCGAAUUAAAAUAUCAUCAAUUUGAUCCUUAACUAAAAUUUGAAUCAAAACGAAGAAUCAAAUUGAUGAUCUAAUGCUUGAUGUUUUAAAAACAUAGAACCGAAACUCCGAAUCAAGCCGUUAGGGUUUUUAAAAAGUUAUCUCGCUCAACUCUCUUCAAAUAGAGAUCCUCAUAUCAUAUUUAUAGGUUUAGAAGACUUCUAGAUAGAUUAGGAUUCCAAAAACUCAAUUUUAAAAACUGACGACGGUCUCAGGGUCCGGUCCUUUCGAAGAGACCGGUCCUUGGGAGACCGGUCCUCCAAGGUGAGGUCCAGUCUUUCGCUGCGUAGAUGUAAAAUAUGCGUACGGGGACCGGUCCUCAAUUCAGAGACCGGUCCUUCCCUGCGCAACAAGGAAAACCACAUACGGGGACCGGUCCUCAUGAUCAGAGACCGGUCUCCCAAACCUUCUACGCAGAGAAGCUUGAUGGGUCCGGUCCCUCUGAUCAAGGACCGGUCCCCGACCCCUGAGUUUUUCAGAAAACUUAAGUUUGAAUAAAACAAAAGGAAACCAAGUCUUCUAAACAUCUUUUAACAAUGAAAACUUCACCACAAAUUAUUUAUAAUCAUACCUGAGAUCUCAAGGGUCUUUGAUCACAAAAACUCCAAUUCUUUUCGUCAAUCUUCAUUUUCUAAUUCUUCGAGACUCCGUUCAAUACUUUACGAAAUUCGCCAACUUAUAAAAUCCUUAACAGGGCGCUAUGCCCUUACCACGAUCCUUGGCCGUCGCGCUCAAACUCGGCCCUGCAACAAGGUGGGGUGAGAACUACGAAUAGUUCCCAGUGGGUUCGACCGCCGACUCCGCCGAUCUCCCCACUAGGUCUAAGCAGGCAUAGAUAGAUAGAUAUGUAUGAAAGCAGUAACAACAUAGUAUAUAAGAUAAUGCGAGUAUCCAACUAUGCCUCAAUCCAAUGCUAUAAAUGCAUGCACUACAUAGUGAAAGGCUAACUACCGCACUACUAUAUGUUCAACAAGAAUACUUGUUCGAUAGUUUACCCAAUCACUCGGCUAGCCCGGAGGCUCGCUCUCAAUCUCACGUCUCAAUCCCACGGCUAUCCUAUAGGUGCCACACCUACUCAAUCACACUGGUGAGGAUCCGCUCACUCACCCGACUCACAAUCUACUCUCUAUGGGGAGGAUCCGCUCACUCUCCCGACUCACCACACACACACUCUCUACGGGGAGGAUCCCCUCACUCGCCCAACUCAACACAGGUACCACAACCCAAUCUCUAUCUCACAGGUGAGGAUCAGCUCACUCACCCGACUCACCUGGGGAGGAUCAGCUCACUCGCCCAAGACCGUCUGCGGGACCCAAAAGGCUAUCCCUAUCGUGUGACAACUCCGGAGUGCACUGCUUGUGUGGAGCGACCACCCCAAGCUUUGAACAGACAUAUGAGUAUGAUCAAAUCUCCAUCACUGAGGAUAUCCUACCACUCUAGACAACAUCACUUGGGAACUAGUUCAUUCCUACGUUCAACACGCAAUAAGUGUUUCCUCUAUACUUUACUUAUCAUGCCACUCGUCAAGUUAUUUACUUAUCUAGAUGCCACUCGUUCUUUGGUUCUCGUUAACACAAGGUUAAGUUCGUCAUUUACUUUACCACUAUUUGGUUCUAGGUCACAGUUCCCCUAUUCUCAUGCAUCCUAAGUCAAGUGCCAAAUUUAUGUGGCUACACUACUAAGGAUCAUGCAAGAAUUAAUGGAAAUGCAACUAUUUAAUACCCUAUUAUUCAUAAUAGUUACACUAGUCCAAAUGCCACUCGUUCUUUGUGUUCAACACUAACUAGAGUUUAAUCCACAUUAAUCAUGUCAUUAUAGGGUUUCACAACACUAUGUCCCAAUCUCAUGCAUACUAGGUACAAGUAUUAAGCAAAUAACAUUACACUACCACUAGCAUGCUAUAACAUGUAACAAUACCAUCUAGCACCCUAUAAUGCGAUAUCACAAUAUGCAACUUGAUCAACGAUAACUUAGACAUAGGGAGCAGUUCAACUGCUUCGGGAUGGUCACCACCCACCUUUUAUAGCGUUCCGAUUGCUCGUCGUCACUCGGAAUCGGCCUCCCGUGGCGCACGCCGCUCGGCUCGACCCAAUUCACGCGCGACCACCGAAUGACCUCCGAUCCGCAAUCAGGAAACUAAAGGUCUUCGGUUUCUUGUCACGAUGCUCGGAAUUCGAUCCCGUGAUUUAUGGACGCCACCUCGGCCCUCCAGGCGAAAACGAAGGCCGGAAGGUCGUUUUCUUCAAUAUCUUUGCAUCGCUUCGACGAAUCGCCGAACUGACUGCGCCAGCACAUUUAAACACCUAUCAAUUAGGUUUACAACCAUCCAAAUGAGAUCAAAACCCUAAAUUUCUCAAAACCCCCAUUUUGAACCCUAGAUCACAACUAUGCAAAAAUCCAUCAUGUAGCCUCUAGAUUCAAGCAUCAAUCAACUCUUUAGCAUGUUAGGGUUCACUUAAAUCCAAUUCUAGAGCUUACAAAUGGAGUUCCAAAGAUCUACCAUUAAAGCCCUUAAAGCUUACCUCAACUAGCUAGCAAGAAGAUGAAGAAGAUGGUGUUGGCUCUUCCUUUGAUCUACUUCUCCUUCCUUUCCCUCUUUUCCUUCCUCUCCUUCUUCUCCUUUCUAGAGAGAGAGAGGGAGAGUGUUUUAGGGUUUUGGUUUGGAGAAAAUGAGAGAGAAUGAGUUCUCUCCACUCCUAUACACCCAACUAAUGGCAGAAUUGCCAAAAACCCCCUCAACAAUGCAAAUAAUGCACUGCCCUCGCGGGACCAAUUUUUGCAUAAGGGACCGGUCCCUUAUACAAAUAGGGACCGGUCCCCGAAGGUCCAGAAUUCCAGCAUUUUUAGGACUUAGCCAAAUUUUCAGCUUUUUCACCGUUUCUUCUCCGUUUUCGCUCGUUUUCGCUCGUUUGACCUCCGAUUCUUUUCAAAUCGAACCGAGAGUCUCCAAACAUGUUUUCAAGCGUAUUUCCAUCAUCUUUUCAUCCACACUAAUGCCGGAUUUAAUCCACGGACCAACAUAGCCUUUUGGGUCCCGUUUCUGCGCCUACGCGCAUUGAAUCGCCCGAAUACUCCUGAACUUCACCGAAUUUCACCGGAACCUUUCAAAUGGCUCUCCAACCAAUGUACAUUGUAACUUCAUGAUUUUAAAAGUCCGGUACCUUACAACCACCUUGAAGGAAAGCUUCUUGAUCUUCAAAACCUCCAAACUCUCCACCAAAAUCCACCUCUUAGCUCCUCCUUUGCCUUUAGAGAGGGUUUCUAAAGAGAGAGAGGAAGAGGAAAUGAGAGAGGAGGGGCUGCUGUGAAGGAGAGGGUGUUUGGGAUGUUUUAUAAGAUGCUACAAUUGCAUCCAGGCCCCCCACAUUUUCAUAUUUGCAACAGACCAAUUUCCUACUGUCAGCCUAAAGUGUAUCGGUACACUUUCAUCUGUCACCGGUAACACGAUUACGCAGAGGCAAACCCGAGAGCAGUUUCUUGGUUACGCAGGGUUUGUAACAGUACACUUUCAAAGUGUAUCGGUACACUUCCAAUUUUUCUCAAACCCGAGAACAAACCCUUCUCGGUCUGCAGGGCUGUACCGGUGACAACUCGAUGGUUGUACCGGUACACUUUGCCCAGACUGCUGGUUUUGAGCUGUUUUCGAUUCUAUUUCGCACCGAACAAUGCUAAAACCUUUCCAACUCCAUCUAAACUCACUUUUAACCCUUCCAACCUUGUUGGAAUGUUAAAUAGAACUUGUGCAACUGUUUCUUUCGGGCACUUCGGCGAAUAAUAUUUUUCACCGACGUUUCGGUAUGUUACACUAGCACAAAGAGAACACCGCUGGGCUCACGGGUUGAAUGUACGACUACUUUUCCGGAAAAGAACAUCCUCCUGCGGGUAUGAUCAAUAGCCAACCGUCGGCAACUAGUUGACAAUCACCGCCCUUCGGGGCAAACCAACUAAUAGGUCAUCAAAUUGUAAGGAAGCACAAGAACAGACCACUCAGAUAAACUAGAAUGGAACAACUCAACAUCCUCCCAAAAGUAUGCAAGUACUGCUCAAUGUCAACUAAAUGUAUAUACAAAAACUGACCAAUAGGUCACAAGAAUGUCCAAUCAUGUAUCACUAAAAUCAAGAACUACCGUCAGCCACUAGCCAACAAUCCUACUACCCCUCACGGUACACCGACCUCAAAGGUCAUCAAACAAUGAAAGUCACGAAACCGACCGACUAGGUCACAUAAUGUCAAAUGACGGAUCUGUGUAAACUAUAAUCAUCCGUCAGCAACUAGCCGACAAUCCUACCCCUCAGGGUAUACCGACCUUAACGGUCAUCGAACAACAGAAGUCAAGGAACUUACUGAAUAGGUCACAGAUACAAGAUAAAAGCAUCGACCAAUUAGGUCAUCGAUCUCACAUGAAAUCAUACAACUGCUCUACUCCUACUCAUGAAGCUAGACAUGAAAAUGAACAAGUAGAGCGAAACAUAGAUAACAGGGAUUCUAGGCUCAACACUAUAUAUGCAAGUUAAUAACAAGAUAACAGGGUAAGAAUAUGUCAUCGAGCGUGCACCACUGUACCAACUUCGAAUCGAAGUACCCACCUGACAAAUGUCGCACCUACUCCUGACUGCGAAAGAAUGUCACCCAGACCUAAGAAGGGUUAGAGUCUAACUCACAUAUAGUGAACACCAAAACCACAACCCCACAACCAAACCCACAGAGAUCGGUUUCCCAAAACCGACUACCGAAACUAGCCGGAAGUCCCGAAAUUCCACCGGGACUCCACAGGGACCCACGAACUGCCCCGGAACGCACCGACUUGUGCUAUGAGUCACCCGCUGCCACUAAACACAAAUAUUCAUGCGACAUGACAGCAAACACACCGCCUCACAUCGAAACGAUUAUCAUCAGAUAAUCGUUCCAAUCCGAGUUCCCGAAAGUGUCAAAUUCAACACCGGAACCCACCAUCGCUCACUCGUCUUUUUCGAACACUCGAAACGAUGCGAGUGACCAGCCAACAAGGCUCAGCGACCACAUGAUCUGUACUGAGGCACCGUCAGAAGAAUACCGAACCGAAACUGCGUUUUGCUGGUGAAUUUCGCCGGCAAACGCACCGAAAUUGGUAAUCGAUUUUCGCAAAAGGAUCCAUACCUUGGACAAUCAGUCCAGAGGUCACCCGCAGCCCAUACGUACUGCCCACAGCAACCAUGGAGUGCACAUUUGCACAAAACCUCUACUAUACCAUAAAAUCACAUCAUUUUAUGUGAUUUUAUCGAGUUUUAUGGCUCGACAACACAAUCCGAGAGCUUUCGAGGCUGGCUGAGACGCCCCUGACAGGUCUCGACAUGCCGGAGGCCGUGCUCAUGAUUCGAAGCAUGGCCGUCCACUGUGGGAGGCGUGGGAGCAACUUGAACAUUCAGCGAACCCUGCGCACUGAGACUUAAACAUGUCUAAUUCCGAAAUUCGGGGCUCGUUCACCCCAAGUAAGGUGAGCACUGUGAUCAGCACUGAUCGACGAUCACCGUGCUCACCUCCGGAGGCAUCGGAACAACCCCAGGUUGCCGAAAAUGCGAUCCAAACUGUAAACAGUGCACAAAACAACAAUUAUUUUGCUUACCGGCCAGGGGAGAGCUAGGGCUGGCCGGCGGCGGCCGCACAGCGGGAGAGCUGGUAGUAGGCGGUUGCAGCUGGUAGGUGGAGGUCAGGGCAUGCGUCAAUCGGCGACGGGAGGUGGCGGCGACGACGGGCAUUGAUGCCCUAGCCUUCCAAACCCGUGGAGAGGAUAGGCCCAGUCCGGCCGGUAGAGGGCUCCGGCGGCGGGAGCGCCGGUGGUGGACGAGUGCGACCGACCCAGGUAAGGUGGCGCUCAUGCCGACCGGCGGCAGAAGGCAGUGGCGGCGGUGUUGGAACAUCCCGAGCUCGCACCGGCUGGGCUCGAGUUUCAGCGGUGCAGUUGCAGCCGGCGGUGGUCGAGGGUGUCCGGCGGCUGUCGGCAGAAGGUCGCCGGAGGCCGGAGGAGGGUAGGCAAGGUGCGCCAAGGCGGCGGCGACGCGAGGACCAGCGACUGCGCUGGUCUCGGCCCGAGCCUGUGCAGGCUGACCGAGAGCUACCGAGAUCGACAGUACGGCGCGCGGGGGCGACGACGACCAGCGGGGGAGGUUGCCGGGGGUCAGGGGGUGGCGGCGAGGCCGGUUCUAGGCUACGGCGGCGCGCGCGGACGUCAGCGACUGGUGGGAAGGUCGCCGGAGGCCAAAGGCACGGCCAGGGGAGGAACCCGACGACAAUCAGCCUCAAAGGAGGCAGCUUGGCCAAGAAGAGGAUGUUGAAGGUGAAGAGAAAGAAGAAGUUGGUGGUUGCCACGGCUGGCCGCCUGGGGCUGGGUCAGCGACGGCCGAGGGCGCGCGGCGCACCAGGUGAGGGGAAGUAGAGCCGGCUGAGGGGUUAGCUGGGGCUAGGGUUAGGGUUUCCCAAGUGCAAACCCUAGAAAUUCCUUAUAUAGCGAUGAGUAAAUCGUUUAUGACUCCCUCCAAAGUGUGGUAUUUACACUUAGGUCCAGACCGCGUGUGUAUGACAACCUCGCGCCUCAGCCCUCCGAGUUUCAAGGAAUUCCGCGCAUAAAAUAUAGGGGGUUUCGGCGAAAUCCGAAAACGUUGAUUCGACCCUACCUCGCUAAAUGCGUGAUAUCUAGAGAUCCGUCCGUCGGAUUUUCGAACGGACUGCGCCAGCGCGUUCAACACGACCAGGGCGUCUAACUCAUGAUUUUGUUUCGCCCAAAAUAGUCGCCGAUCUGCGACAAAACCCAUCCUCUCUCCAAUUAUUCCAUACUCCACACAUAGACAUAUGUGUAAACCCAAAAACCCUAAAUUCAAACCCGAAUUUGAAUUCCCUACCACCGGUAGGUACCUGACACAUCCCUCACCCAACUCCAGGUCACAAGCACAGAGCACAAGGAGCUUUAUAAUGCAAGGACAGCAAAGAACGAAAACCCUCUUUUUGAUAAAACUCCUUUUUUUUGAAAACUGUGCAUCAAAAUUCAAAUCCGUCAAUGCCAUUGGGUUCAGGACAGUCGAACCAUUGAAAACGAGCUAUUGGAUCAAUAUAAUCGAAGUCCAAUACGCGACGGAAGCCAACUCUACUCUGUGGCUUCUCCGGAAAACCGAGUUACUAUUCACUUUAAGUGAUUAGUAAUGAUCGCGUAACUUCUCCAUUUUAACUCAUUUUCUCUUGAAACUUGACGGGUGCUUAUGUAAUUAAAUUACACACAAAAACAUCGUGAACAGAGAGUUUAGCUACACUGCCAAAAUCUCAAUCCUUACACAACUGUAGAUAAACUGAAAACCCAAUCACUGUGCCCUAUGAUCCGAAGAUCGCAGGCUAUGUCACACAGUAUGCUCACCCACCGGCACAUAACCUCCGCAAGCACCUGGCAAGAGGCUCACGGGUCGAGCAGACGACCACUUUUUUGAAAAAGAACACCCUCACGGUGGUCAAACCGUUGGCGUAUGUGAACUGCUAGAUGAGCUGUAACGAUUGAUACAAAAUGCUCAAUCCAUAGGACGGCCACAAGCCGAGAAUAGCAACAACUAACACAAGUCUAAGAGAUCGCUCGGAUCAUCGAGUCGAUCAACACCGACCAAUCAGGUCUCACUAUAAAAUCAUGCAAGAUACACCACACCUCUCUACUCAUAUCAUAUGUAGCAAGGAUGAAAGUAGAGAACAAUAACUGAAAAUCAAGUGGAAUCAUGCUUAUCCAUAACAUGCAAGGAAAGGGAAAAAGAGAGAUAUCAUCGAACUAGUCCACUGUACCGACUCCGGAUCGAAGCACCCACCUGUCCUACCGAGAACCUGGAGAGCAGAACACGCAAAGCUGACCCGGAGACAUAUGAAAGAUCUACUAAGUCAAGCUCUACCCAAAAGAUAAACCCAAACAAACCAAACAAACAGUUACCGAAACUGUUAAUUAAAAACCCGCCUAAACAUUCGGAACUUGCCAGAACUUGUCGGAACUUUCGAAACUUGCCGGAACGCCUCCGAGACCCACAAAUGGCUUUGAAAAUUACCAAACCCAACUAUAACUAACCGCUGCCCCCAAAUACACCAAAACAGGUGCCCAGGGCAGCAAUAACCAACAACAAGAGCUAAAAGGAUUCAUAAAGCAAAAAACUGCCGAACCGGGUUUCCGAAAUCGCCGAAAUAGGCUCCGAAACCCUCCUGCUGCUAACCUACCACCUUCGUACUUCAAGGAUGGCACUAGCAACCAGCCAACAAGGAAUGGCGGGGUUCUCAACCAAUCCACAACUUUAGAACACUAGAACUCACUAAUAAAACUCGUUCGUUCGGUGAAUUUUCACCGAAUGACUCCGUGGAGCCACGUUCUAACUCGGCGACUGUUCUCGGACCUUUGACGAUCAGUUAAGAGGUUACUAAAAGUGACUUCAUGCUAUUGGGGGCAGCACACAAUGUUCCCAAAGUAUAAAACAUACAAACAAUCCAUAAUAACACUAAAUGCUAUACAAACAAUGCAUAAACGACGAGUUUAGAGCUCGUUAUCCUGAUCCGUGUCGCAGCGGAUCCAACCAACCAGUUGAUUUGGAUCAACUUGACGCAAGGAUGCAUGUGCUUGUUGUUCGGAGUGAAAACUGUCAUGCCCGGCUACCGCCAAUUUGGUCGGUUCGAGCACAUCCACAGAUGCCAAACGAAUAGAACCUCCCCUGUCCGCCCAAGGCUCAAUAACAAAUUCGCCCAGCACUACAACAAAUUCAUGAUUUAGCGGCAUUUACUCCGCAGCAUUUAUUUAAAUAACGCUAAUUAAUAUAUUUAACAGCAUUACUUGAUAAGUGCCGCUAGAUUUAAAAAUUUAGCAGCAAUUUACUAUUAAUGUUGUAAAAUAGAAUAAAUUAGCAGCAUAAAUUAGUGAAUGCCGGUGAAGUUUCCAGCAUUUUAUAAAAAAUGAUACUAAAUGCAAUAAAGUAGCAACGCUUAUUGCUAAAUGCCGCAAUAUUUGCUCCGCAACAUUUAUUUAAAUCACGCCAAUUAAUAUAUUUAGCAGCAUUACUUAAUAAUUGCUUCUAGAUUUAAUUAUUUAGCAGUAAUUUACUAUUAAUGUUACAAAAUAGGAUAAAUUAGCAGUAUAAAUUAGUGAAUGCCGCUAAAUAUAAUAAACCAGCAAACUUGUUACUAAAUAUCAUUACUAAUUAAUAUAUAAUUAUUAAUAUAUCCCUUUUUAUUUAGAAUUAAAAAUUUUAAAACUAAAAUUUAAAAUUGAAAACAUAUAAUUUUUAAGAUUAAACUUAUAAUUUAAAAUUUAAAAUUCUAAAAUUUAUAUUUUAAAUUUUAAAUUCUAAAAUUAUUAAUUUUUAAAUUUUAAAAUUUUAAAUUUAUUUUAAAUUUUAAAUUUUAAAUUUAAAACUAUUAAUUUUGAAACUUAAAAUUUUAUAUUUGAAAACUAAAAAUUUAAAUUUAGUAUCUAAAUUUAAAAAUUUAAAAUUUUAAAAUAGAAGACUUAAAAUUUUAAAAAUUAAAAUAUAUAUAAUUAAUAGUCGUUAGUGCAAGUGGCAAAGGGCUUAGUGGUUGGUACUCGAGGUCUCAAGUUCGAAUCCUAGUUGAUUCACAUUUCCAGCAAAGUUUAUUUCUAGAAGAAAUAAACGAAGCGGGUAGCAUCUCAAAAAAUUUUAAAUUAAAAUUAAAAAUAUAAUUUAAAAUAAAAUUAAAAUUUUAAAAUUUUAAUUUCUAAGAUCAGAUAUUUGUAUUAACGGCAUUAUAUUUAUGUGCCACUAAUAAAUAAUUUAAAAUUAGCAUUUAAUCUCUUUUAGUGGCAUGUUCCUAAUGACACUAAUUGAUUUACAUUGGCGGCAUUUAUAAUAAAUACUACUAAUACUUUUAGCAAUAUUAGCAUAGGCAUUGUAAUAUACCGAAACUUCAGUAGAAUACUCCGGACUUUAGCUAAAUGGACUAAAAUGUGCGAAGGAAAUAGUUGGACAAAGUCAAUUUGGCAUUCCAACAAUGUUGGAAAGGUUAAAAAUGAGUUUCAGAAGAGUUAGAAAGGUUUUAGCAUUGAUCGGCGCGAAAUAAAAUCGAAGAAGAUGCAAAACUGAAAUUCUGGGCAUUGUGUUACCGGUAAUACAUCGGGCUUAUACCGGUACCAAACAGCUGACCGAGAGCAGCAGAUCUCGGGUUUGAGAAAUUUUGGCUGUUAAACCGGUGACACCCCUUGUAACAUACCGGAUUUUAAUAUAAAAGCAAAAAUAAAAAAAAAUAGUGUGAGAUAUUAUUUUUAUUGGAUUUAGAGAAAUAAAAUAUAACUCAGGAAUGACUUGUGCUGAAAUCGGAAUGAAAACAGAAGAUUUAGAAUUUUUUGUGAGAAACAAAGUUGAUAUUUUAGCAGAAAAUGCACAGUGUCAGAAAAUUAUGAAAACUAGAGAUAUGUCGAAAAUAUUUUUGUGAGGCUAGAUUUAAAGUUUCAUGUCAAUCCGACACCCGAAAAGUAAAAAAUAAAAUCUAACUGCUAUCUGCUAGAGAUUACAGUUCGGUAGAGCUUUCGGUGACCAAAUGUGGUCGAAACUGAAAGAUUAAAAUUCUUUCGUUAAGUUAAGUAAAACCGAGCCUGACUGCCAAAUUUGAGCUCAAACGGAUAUUCAGAAGGGCAGGCGAAAAAUAUCUGUACCUGUGCUGAAAGUUGAAUAAUGUUGAGGGGCUUUGUAUAAAAAGGAUUUCUCCCCUUUUCUUCUCCUCCAUCAGCCCACGCACACAACACACGCACGCACACACCCUCUCCCUCUCCCUCUCCCUCACACUUGCAAAGAAGGAAGGAUCUCUCUCUCUCUUGAAGGUGGAAUCAAGAGAAGGAUUGGUGGAGAAGGAAUCAAGAAGGUGGAUCAUUUUUUUCUUCAUCUUCUUCCUCUCCAUUAGAGCUAGCCUGAGAGGUAAGCUUUGAUGCCGUUUAAUGGUAGAUUUCUAGGGUUGAGUUUUUAAGCUCUAGAAAUGGGUUUAAUUGAAUCCUAGGAUGUUAAAUGAAUGUAAAUUGCAUGAAUCAAGUUCCAAUUUGGGUAUUCUUGCAAUAGUAGACACCUAGGGCUUCAAAAAUGGCAUUUUUGCUAGUAGAUAGGUUUGAUCUAAAUUGAACCUAUAUAAACCUAAUUGCUAGGUAUUCCGACGCGUUGGCGAAGUCGGUUCAGUGAUUCGUCGAGCCUAUGCGAAGAUAUUGAAGAAACGGACGUUUCGGCUUCGUUUUCGGAGACCUUUAAUUUCCAAAUUGUGGAUUGGUGGUCGUUCGGUGGUCGAGCGUGAGAUCGGACCGAACCGGGUGGCGUGUGCCGCGGGAGGCCGAUUGCAAGUGUCGACAAGCAAUCGGAACGCGAUAACAGGUGGGUUGUGCUUACCAAAGCGACUAGUUCACCUCUAUGCCAAAGCGGAGUAUGAGUUCUUGUUGAUGCAUAUGUAUGGGCACGACGGCAUUGUAAUUAUGCUAGAUAGAAAUGUAUGCAUGUGAAUUUAAAUGCUAGUUGGAGAAUAUAUAUGCAUGAUAGCAUCAUGUGAAUCAUACUAGAUGAUAGUUGAUAAUGGCAUAUUGAUGCAUUGAAAAUAUAUGCUAGUGAUAGUUUCAUGUUUAGAUGUAAUGGAACAUGCUAGAGCAUAUAAGUGAAUGGUAACAUGUUGUAGAUCAUGUUAGAAAGAACAUACAUGUUGGCAUUGUAAGUGUGCUAGAUGGAAAGUGUGUGCAUGUAUCAUUAUGAGAAUUAUGUUAAGUUGAUAGUUGCAUACUAUUGCAUGAAAACUAUAUGCUAGUGGAUAGAUGCAUAUUAAUAUUUAUAUGCAUUGUAGAAUCCAUGCUAGGUACUUAUUAGCAUUGUGAGAUUAUGUUAGAGAGCAUCAUAUUAACAUAUUGUUGAUUAUGUUAGAUAAGAUGCAUGAUAGUACUUGAUGGGGACAAUUAGAAUGCCAAGUAGAUCGAGUGGCACUUAACCUAGUGUAUGAAACAUAGGUUGGACAUGAAUGGCAACGAACCUAGUGUUACUAAACAUAGGUCGGAUAUGAACCUAGUGUUGUUGAACCUAGGGUGAAUCAUAAGUGGCAUCUAACCUAAUGAUAAAGAACAUAGGUUGAGAAUGAAUGUGACGCAGUGGACCUGUGCAAAUUGCGAGGUUCGAGUGUUUGGACAGUGUCCCGAGUUUUCCCAGACUUUCUGGUGGGUCGUUGACAGUGUUCCGACCUAUGGCUCGCAUCCCGAGAAUUGUAGUAUUUUUUGUAGCGCUAAGGUCACUAAAGAGUUGGACAUAGGCUACCCUCGGAUUGCACUCUGCACAAGGUGUACCGGUACACCCUUGAUGGCUGUACCGGUACAUACUUUGUACCGGUACACUUUUGAUGGUUGUACCAGUACACUUGUGGCAGAUUGCGAACCCGAGCCUCGGGUUUGCAUUUUCGUAGGAUGUGUAUCGGUACACUUUCCCGUGUACCGGUACACUUUGGCAGAAUCUAAGCAGUUUGAACUGUAGGGGGUUUUUCGCGAUUGUGGCACCCUUAUAACAGCACCCAAGCCCCAUAGGGCCUCUCUUGUGCUGGAACCUGAGGAGGAGCAAGGUAGGGAGCCCCUCUUUUCCCCUAUUUGGAUUUGAUCUCUAAUUUCUUGGAUUUUGAUGGAUUUCCCUCUUUUUUUCCCUAUUGAAGCUACUUCCACCAUUGUUGGAGCUUGGAGCUUGGAUUUGGAGUUUGAUUGAGGGAAGAUACUUGAAGUUUGAGGACUUUGAGAUGGUUUUGAGGCUUCUAAGAGGUAAGUGGCAAGAUCCUUUCCUCUAGUUUUGGAUUUUAGAGCUUUCUUUGAGAUGAAACCCUAGUUUUGGGACUUAGGGUUUAUUUUGGGCUUUUUGAACCUAGGGCUUUUGAGGCUUGAUUGGUUGGUUUAGGACCUUCCUAGGGCUUGGAUUGGACGGGUUCUAGCUCUCUUUUGGAGCUUAGGAGAAGAUUUCUACUCUUGAGGUGAGUUUUGGCCCUUUUGCUUCUAGGUUAAAGAUUGAGCUUAUUGCUCUUCGUAUCGAUUGGAUGACACCAUUUUUUUUAUGUUCUUAGGGUGCUAGGAAGCUUGUGGAAAUCUCUGUUCGGCGAAACGAAAGUUUCGAUUUUGGUGGGUUUGAGCCUUCGACAUGAGAAAAUCUCAUAUUUGGUGAUAAGUGCUUCGUGUACUAAUAAUUCAUGCAUUUUCAUGCUAGAUGUGUUUAUUAUGAAUUUUAGAAUGCUUAAAAUGCCCAUGUUAUAUAUAACGAAAUUUUGGACCUCUAUGUAGUAGAGAGUGGCUUGAGAGAGAGAGUUGGUUGCAUUUAGCAUUCUAUAUGAGAUUUGGUUUCAUGUUUCUAUAGAGUAAAUGAGCUAUGAUUCAUGCAUUUAAACAUAAGUUUAAUUGAGACAUGAAAGAUGACGGUUGCUAUAUAUAUAGGCAUCGAAUUUGAUAUCAUGUGAAUUAGAGAGCUAAUGUCAUCAAGCGGCAUUGAGCUCAGGACAUGUGUGAACCUAGUGGAUAGGGCCAUUGAGGGAUUUGGAAAACAUGUUGAACAUCAAAUUGACUAAGUGUCAGCAAGGGGCACUAGGCGUAGCAAAUGUUGAAACUUCACAUUGUGACUUAAACUAGAUCUUCGGGAUGCUAGUAACUAUACCAUGUUAGAGACAUGAGGGUUGGAUACUUGAGACUUGGACUAUGCUUGCUUGCCAUUUGUGCUCAUUCGCACAUGCUUGUGAGGGUCGCUCCCUACAAGCCGGCACUCCGGAGUUAGCCUACGCGACCUAUGUUCGCUCGUGCGGUAUUGAGAAGCCUACGGGGUCGAGUGGGACAGACACAUUCCAAGAGUAGGGAUGUUGGGCUACCACAGGCACUUAGGCGGCACAAGCUGGACUACCUUUGGUAGGUCCUUGAUUGGAAAUGGAAAUCGAUACGGUGUUGAGAAUGAAUAAUCGCUACUAGACAGGCUUAGUAGUUGGAUUAGGUGACAUGCUCAUGACAUAGCAAUAGGGUAUAUAGUACACUUGCCGGUUUCAUACAUUGCAUCAUAGUAUACUAGGUUAUCUUGAUAGAGCAUACUCCAUAUAUUUUGGCAUAUGGUAUUGUGAGGUUUACUUGUUCAUUAUGUUGAGGCAUAUUAGUAUGCAUUGGAUAUAUUAUCUUAUGAUAGCGUAGAUGUACAUCACCAUGACAUCAUACUUAUUGGAGACAUAGUAGUAUAGCAUUUCAUUCAUGCUUUCUUUCAGCAGUUUUCGUGUUCGCUAUUUAUUGCAUAUUACUAUAUGUCGUUACUUAUCCUUUUCUUUUGGGGCCUAGUGGUGCAUUGAGCUGAGGUCAGUAAUUGCCCACUGGGAACUAUAAAUUAUAGUUCUCACGCCCUCUUUUUCUCGAUAUUUUUCAGAGCCUUCCACGCAGGGUGAGGCCAGGGAUCGCGGGAAGGGAGUUGCUUCGAGCUAGCUUCCUUCGAGGACGAGUUGUUAGGUGGUCUACCUCUCGAUGUCUUACCUUUUUUAGAGAGGUUGAGGGUUUUACCAGUGUACUAGAGACCACCAUUUUUGUACUAGUGACAGAUAUUGUAUUACUUAUGGUUUCUUUUAUUGUCUAGCUUUAUUUCUAUACUUUAGUGUAGAUGUUAGAACUUUACUCGCUCUGAUAUCGUUAGUUGCUCGUUAUUUCACUUCUUUUAUUCGUUCUAUCUCUUGCUUUACUUCCGCUUUUGUUCUAGACGCCUUAUAUGUGUAGACAUAUGGCGGGUCUGGGCACGCUACCGGGAGGGCCUUCGCUGGUCCCGGGGCGUGACAAGUUAAUUUGGUAUCAGAGCCUAGGGUUGAGUCUUAGAGGACCUAGUAAACCUUAGGCCGGUUGGACUAUAGGAAUUAGGCUCGUGAGAGACGGGGUAUAAUUGACUUGUGAGCGGAAGUAUUUCGAUUAGGUUUAUGAUAACUCUAAAAAGUUAGAGUUGGAUCGGAGUGCAUGGCUUCUAACUUCGCGGAGGGUUACGUUGGCGGCCGACAACGUAACAUCGGGAGUUAGUAGUGAAAGACACUUCCUUACUUUCGCAUGAUUUGGGGAUUUAUCUAUUUGAGCGGGGAUGCGGUAGCGUGGGUUACUAACUUGCGCUUUUAUGCUUCGUAGUGACGAUGCCGAUUACACGAUCCCAGUCUGCCGGGGCGGAUGAUGCGGCACACCCCGAGGAGGUCGAGACCUCCGCUACUUCCGGAUCUAGCGAGGUCCGUGAUUUGAGGGCCCAGCUUGCGGUUCUCACUGAUCUGUUGGCGCAGCAGACGGGAGCGGCACAGCGACAGGCUGAGGUGGCCGAGCGGUAGGAGGCGAGGAUGAAGCAUCUUGAGGACCUCCUACUUCAGCAGGCGGCAGUUUCGAGGGAGACCCAGGUUCCCACACCGCCAGCACCUGUGGUGGACGUCGCUCCGAGGGCGCAGUCCCCCGCGCCCAGUUCUUCACGUGCGGCACCGGCAACCGCACCUCGGGAGGAGGUGGCUGCGGCACUACCAGUUCAGAGACCGGUCACGGGGGCAGCAUUCCCCGUGAUGGCCGAUGGAGCCGAGCGGGAUCGGCUUAUGGAGCGCCUCGGUGAGUUCAGGAGGUGCAGCCCGAGGACGUUUGAUGGCGAGAACGUCGACCACUGGAUUGUUGAGAAGUGGUUACUGCACAUGGAGAAGCUGUUUCGAGAUACCUUCGUUGAGGAAAGGGACAGAGUUUGGCUCGCCACCCACUUCCUGGACGGCGAGGCCUAUCGUUGGUGGUUGGAUAUCCAGGACAACCCGAACACCGACUUGGCAACGAUUACUUGGACUAGGUUCAAGGAGCUUCUUCUGGCGCACCACUUUCCUACCAGCGUCAAGAGGAAGAUGGAGCAGGAUUUGCGCAGCUUGCGCCAGGAUGAGCGGUCAGUGGCUGAAUACGAGAGGGAGUUCUCCCGGAUACUACACUGUGUACCGUUUGUUGUGAGAGAUGAUGAGGACAAAGCCCGCAUCUUUGAGCGCGGUUUGCGGCCUUCUAUCUUCCGGUUGGUGCAGUCUUCCAACCUCCAGACCUACCGGGAGGUUGUGGAUCGAGCCUUGAUUGUGGAGGCAGGAGCGGCGGAUCUGCAGGAGCGUCGCGAGAGCUUGGAGAAAGGGAAGGGUAAGAGGCCCGCGGCUGAGGGUGCGAGUCAGACGCACUCACGGAGGCCGCCGAGGCAUCUCAGGAGCAGGAGCCAGUCGCGAGGACGCGGCCAGUCUACCCAGCGAGGAGGACCCGAUCGUCGCCAGGCCCCCCGCUGCGUGAUCUGUGGCGGUCCUCACUACCCGCGGCAGUGUUCACGCAGCCGGGGCAGGUGCUUCUUGUGUGGCCAGGAGGGCCACUUCCAGUCGGACUGCCCGAGGAGUCCAUUGCCAGCGCCAUCUGCGGCAUCUGCACCAGCAUCGCCAGGUCCCAGCCCGGGGACAUCUUCUGCGCACCACCAGGCAGGACGGCCCCCAGUUUUGCGGCAGGCAGAGGGGUCACGGCAGGCCCCGAGCGGGCGCCUGUACGCAGCCCAGAAUGACGAGGCGGCGGCAGCCGAGAAUGUGGUCGCAGGUAUCAUUUUACUUCAUGGUAUUUGAGUUAGAGCUUUGUUUGAUACCGGUGCAUCGCAUUCAUUCAUUGAUCGGCUGUUUGCCGAGCUGCAUGGCAUCCCACUUGUAUCCUUGUUACAUACGGGCCGAGUCGUUGUACCCGACCAUUCUUUGGACAUUCGGGAGUUUUGCCCCAGUUGCCCUAUUCGGGUUGGAGAUUGGAUCAUGCCCGUGGACUUAUUAGCGUUGCAUAAACUCUGGGAGUUUGACAUUGUGUUGGGCAUGGAUUGGUUGACGAAGUACUACGCCACUAUCGAUUGCAAAGAUCGAACGGUGAUCUUUAAAGAGCCAGGGCAGGCGGAGGUUGUGUACCGAGGAUGCCAGAGUUCGCUNNNNNNNNNNNNNNNNNNNNNNNNNUUCCGCGACGACUUUGUGUACGGGCGGAUUAAUGGCAUGAAAUGAGGAACAUCUUCAAGAAGCAACACCGAGCACCGUAUGCUAUUACAUACCGGAAGGCACCAAGAGUACAAGGAUUUGAAAUACUUUGAUUGGUGGCCCGGGAUGAAAAUGGAUGUUGUGAGUUUGUUGCAGCAAUGCUAAAUUUGCAACAAGUGAAGCGUAGCACGAGUUCUGCGGGGAAGUUUGCAGAAGAGUACCGAUUCCAGUUGGAAGUGGGAAAUGAGAUCACCCAUGGAUUUCUGAUGGUGAUUGCCCCGCUCUCUUCAGUGAGGCAUGACGCUAUUUGGGUGCAUUGUAGUAGAUUGACGAAGAUCGCACAUUUCAUAACCAUCCACACUACUUGACUGGUCGAUGAGAUCGCACAGGUAUCUUGGCAUGAGAUUGUGCAUAUGCACGCGGUACCUAAUUCUAUCGUUUUCAGAUCGAACCCGUUUUGUGUCCCACUAUUGGAGGAGCUUUACAGGACGCUUCUGGGUACGGUAUUGGAUCAGUAGUGCUUUCCACCCCUCAGAGGUGCGACAGUCGAAGCGUAUGAUACAGACAUUCGAGGACAGGCUUCGAGCCUGGUGUGAUCGACUUCCAGGGAGAGGAUCGCGUAGCAUCUACGAUGGCACGAGUUUGCUCUUAGUAACAACAGUUAUCAAGGCAAGAUCAAGAUGGCACGUUCGAGGCACUUAUGGCGGAAGUGUAGUCGCACUUAUAAUUGGAGUGAAGUUGCGCGAGAGAUAUGGCUUUAGGCCGGAUAUGCUCAGGAAGCAGAGGACAAGGUCGCAUUGCUCGGAGCGAUUUGUUGCCGCCAGGUAGGCAGAGGAGUUAUGUUAUCGGCCGUCACGAGAUGGAGUUCAGAUUGUGACAUGUUUCUUUGAAAGUUUACGGCCGACUAAAGAAUUAGAAGUUUGGAAUCCGGGGUAGUUGAGCCCCCGAUUACAUUGCGACCAUUUGAGAUUUUGGAGCGUGUAGGGCCCAGGCUGCCGUAUAGACUUGCUGAUCUACGCCAAACGCUAUCGGGUUUACAACAAUGUAUUCAUGUAAUCGCGUCCUUUACGAAGUAAUCACGACCCUGUCGUGCUCACCUAUAGCUGUGUUGGAGUACUAUGGAGUGCGGAUUUCUUGAGAGCAACCUUUGAGGAUUUGGCUGCGCAAAGGUAAAAGAUUGCAGAACGGGAAAUUCUACGUGAAGGUGCUUUGGAGAACUACGACGAGCGCUAAGCAUUCGGAGCUAGAGAGCGCGCUUACGACGCUAUCCCCAUCUUUUUCAGAUGGACCUUGAGGUAACAGCGUUGCUGUUCGAGUUUCGCGGACGGAAAUCCUUUUUAGGAGGGCGUGUGAUGUGAGCAGUGGACUGUGCAAAUUGCCGAGGUUCGAGUGUUUGGACAGUCUGUCCCGAAGUUUUUCCAGAUUUCUGGUGGUCGUUGACAGUAUUCGACCUAUGACUGGCAUCCGGAAUUGUAGUAUUUUUUGUAGCGUAGGUCAUCUAAGGUUGGACACAGGUACCUCGGAUGUGCACUCUGCACUAAGGGUACGGUACACCCUUGAUGGCUGUACGGUACAUACUUUGUACCGGUACACUUUUGAUGGUGUAACCGCAUUACAUUGUGGCAGAUUGCGAACCCGAGCUUGGUUGUUUGCAUUUUCGCGUAGGAUUGUUACGGUACACAUUUCCGAUGUACGCCGUACAUUUUGGCCAGAAUUGAGCAGUUUGACAGAUGCAGGGGCUUUUUGCGAUUGUGGCACCCUUAUAAGCAAACCCACGCCCAUAGGGGCGCUUCUUGUGCUAUGGAAGAGAGAGCAAGUUAGGGACGCCCUCUUUUCCCCUAUUGGAUUUGAUCUCUAAUUUCUUGGAUUUUUGAUGGAUUCCUGCUCUGUUUUCUAUUGAAGCUAUUCACCAUUGUUGGAGCAGUGGAGCUUGGAUUUGGAGUUGCAUUGGAGGGAACAGAUAGCUUGAGUUUGAGGACUUUGAGAUCGUUUUGAGGCUUCUAGAGGUAAGAAUGGGCAAGAUGCCUAUUCCUCUAGUUGUUGGAUUUUUAGAGCUUUCUUUGAGAUGAAACCCAGUUUGGAUUAGGUUUAUAUUUUGCUUUUUGAACCUAAGCGUUUUGAGGCUUAUUUGUUGGUUUAGACUUCUAGGGCUUGGAUGGCGGUAUCUAGCUCCUUUUGGGGCUUUAGGAGAGAUUUCUACUCUUGAGGUGACGUUUUGGCCCUUUUGCGUCUAGUUAAAGAUUGAGCUAUAUUGCUCUUCGAUAUGAUUGGUACACCAUUUUUUUUAUGUUCCUUGAGGUGCUAGGAAGCUUGUGCGAAAUCUCCGCUUCGGCUGCCGAAACGUAAAGUUUUCCGAUUUUGGUGGGUUGGACCUACCUUCGACAUGGAGAAAAUCUCAUAUUGGUGGAUAAGUGUUCGGUGUAUAAUAAUUGAUGCAUUUUCUGCACGAAUGUGUUAUUAUGAAUUUUAGAAUGCUUAAAAUGACCCAUAUUUAUUAACGACUAAUUUGGACCUCUAUGUGUAGAGUGGCUGAGAGAGAGAGUUGGUUGCAUUUAGAAUUCUAUAUGAGAUUGAUUUCAGUGUUUAAAGAGUAAAUGACUAUGAUUCAUGCAUUUAAAAUAGUUUAAUUGAGACAUGAAGAUGAGACGGUUGCAUAGUAUAUAUAGGCAUCGAAUUUGAUAUUAUGUGAAAUUAGAGAGCUAAGUCAUCAACGCGAACUUGAGCUCAGGACAUGUGUGAAACCUAUGGUUAGGGCCAUUGAGGAUUGUGGAAAAACAUGUUGAACAUCAAAUUGCCUACAGUGUCAUCAAGGGGCACUAGGCGUAGCAAUGUGUGCAACUUCACAUUGUGACUUAAACUAGAUCUUGGAUGUAGUAACUAUGACCAUGUUAGAGACAUGGGCUUGGAUACUUGAGCCUUGGACUAUGCUUGUUGCAUUGUUGCUCAUUCGCAUCAUGUUAUGGGGCGCCUCCAUACAAGCCGGCCACUCCGGGAGUUGCCUACGGACUAUGUUCGCUGUGCGGUAUUGAGAAGCCUACGGGUCGAGUUGGACAGAACACAAUCCAAGAGUAGCGGAUGUUGGGCUACACAAGGCACUUAGGCGGGCACAAGUGGACUCCUUUGGUAGGUCUUGAUUGGAAAUGGAAAUCGAUUACGAUGUGGAAUGAUAAUCGCUACUAGACAGGUAGUGUUGGAUUAGGUGACAUGUGCUCAUGAUACAUGCAUGGUAUAUAUGUACAACUGCGUUUCAUAAUUUGCAUCAUAGUAAUACUAGCAGGUAUCUGGAUAGAGCUACUCAUAUAUUUUGGCAUAUGGUAUUGUGAGGUUUACUUGUUCAUUAUGUUGAGGCAUAUUAGUAUGCAUUGGAUAUAUUAUCUUAUGAUAGCGUAGAUGUACAUCACCAUGACAUCAUACUUAUUGGAGACAUAGUAGUAUAGCAUUUCAUUCAUGCUUUCUUUCAGCAGUUUUCGUGUUCGCUAUUUAUUGCAUAUUACUAUAUGUCGUUACUUAUCCUUUUCUUUUGGGGCCUAGUGGUGCAUUGAGCUGAGGUCAGUAAUUGCCCACUGGGAACUAUAAAUUAUAGUUCUCACGCCCUCUUUUUCUCGAUGUUUUUCAGAGCCUUCCACGCAGGGUGAGGCCAGGGAUCGCGGGAAGGGAGUUGCUUCGAGCUAGCUUCCUUCGAGGACGAGUUGUUAGGUGGUCUACCUCUCGAUGUCUUACCUUUUUGCGAGAGGUUGAGGGUUUUACCAGUGUACUAGAGACCACCAUUUUUGUACUAGUGAUAGAUAUUGUAUUACUUAUGGUUUCUUUUAUUGUCUAGCUUUAUUUCUAGACUUUAGUGUAGAUGUUAGAACUUUACUCGCUCUGAUAUCGUUAGUUGCUCGUUAUUUCACUUCUUUUAUUCGUUCUAUCUCUUGCUUUACUUCCGCUUUUGUUCUAGACGCCAUAUAUGGGUAGACAUAUGGCGGGUCUGGGCACGCUACCGGGAGGGCCUUCGUCGGUCCCGGGGCAUGACAAUGAACCUAGAGUUAAUUGAAUUUAGGUGAGUGGCAUUAAGCUAGUGUCGUGAACAUAGGUUGUGAAUUGAACCUAGAGUUAAGUAAACCUAGGUAUGUGAUUGAGGCAUUAAACCUAGAGUCAAAUGAACCUAGGUGGCAAAGGACAUUGGACCUAGUGUUAAUGAACCUAGGUUAUGAACAUAGUGUCAUUGAACCUAAUGUAUUAACUUAGGUUGAGUGAAGGCUUGGACCUAGAUAGGUCGAUACUAUAGGGUGAGACCAACCCUCGAGUUAUGAAAGUGGAUUCCGGAAUCCCUGCUGCGAGUGCAGCGGCUGCUAGUGCAGCAUACGAGCUCGAUAGUUCUUGGCCGCGGGUGUAUAUGGCAUGUUCCUCUCCUACCAGAAGAACUUCGAGAAUUGUGAUUGAGCAAGAUUCUUGGCCGCGGGUGCAUGUGGCAUGUUCCUCUCCCACCGGAAGAAUCUUGAGCGCUAGGGUGUAUGUAGCAUGUUUCUCUCCCUAUCGGGGGUCUCGGCUGUGGGUGUAUGUGGCAUGUUCCUCUCCCAUCGGGGGAUCCCUGACCACGGGUGUACGCAGCUCUGGGCGACCCGUUGGGCGAUGUGGUCUGUGGAUUGAAGGCUGAGGUGCAUGUGAGAGUUCCUUCACCUCGAGCCGGACAGAGCGUGGAUUAUCCACAGUUGAUUGACUCAAGACCGAGUCAAGUAGUAUAGUUGGCUAAGGUAAAGUAACCUUAGGAAAGAAUUGCAAAUGUGUGUAAUAUGGGUAAGGUGUGAGUACCCUUAGUAAAGAAUAAAGAACAAAGAAUCGAGAACGGCCAGUAAUAAGAUAUGGCUAGCGUUAGAGAACGGCUAGCGAUAAAGAGUGGCUAAUAAUAAUAAAGAAUGUCAAAAAAUAAAGAAUGACGAGUAGUAAAGAGCGGCUAGUGUAACGUAUGGAAACUUGGAGUUGCGAUGUCAACUUUGACCUAGAGGGUCAAAGUGAGGAUUGAGCUAGUUGGACAUCAUCCCCGAGUGAUUUGUGAUGCGUGUGAAUGAAUUCUGGAGAUAAAUAAGUGUUUCGGCGCAAAUUGGGCGCGAAACGACAUAUAAAGAGAAUUUUCGGAUUUCCGACGCUAACUUUGAUUAAAAGAAUUAAAGUAAGGCGUGAGGAUAAAUUGUGGUAUCUCCGAAUCAAUUGUGAAGUUUUGGAAAAGCCAAGGGUGUGCUUUCAAAGGGUUUUGAAGUGUUCAGUGCGAAGUGGUAGUGCAAAAAGGAGAAAUUUCUGCCGUAUAAUAAAAUUGGAGCAGAUUCUAUUGCUAAUUCGGCUCCAAUAAUGUCAAAAUGAAAAGGAAUUGCUUCCAAAUUAAAUUGGUAGCUUAUGAAGGUCCCUUGGUAUAUUUUGGAAGUGUUUGGGUCAAAUCGGAGUGAAAACGGAAACUUUAGAAUUUUCUGUAAAGAACGGGACUGAGAAAAUUAGCAGAAAAUGCACAGUGUCAGAAAAUUAUGAAAAUUGGCAGAGAUGUCAGGAACAUAUUUAUGAGGCUAGAUUUGAAGUUUCAGAUUUUUCUGACACCUGUAGAGAGAGAAAUAGCAUCUGGAAGUUAUCUGAUAAAGAUUACAGUUCGGGACAGUUCGCAGUGACCAAACGGGGUCGAAACUGAAAUGUUAAAAUUUCAGUGGACUUGUUAAGUAAAAACGAACAUUCCUGCCAAAUUUGAGCUCAAUCGGACUGUCGGAAGAGCCUAUGAAAGGUAUUUGAUCCGAGUUGCGCAAUGGAUUUAAGUCGAGGGGCAUUAUGGUAAUUUAUCACUAAGUUAGUGGAAUUCCACUAAGUUGCCUGCCAGAGAGAGCUCCAUCCUUAUCCCCUCUUCCUGCUGCAUACGUAGAGAGAGAGAGAGCAGAGAAAAGAAAAGAAGGAGAAAAGAGAAGAAGAAGAAGAAGAAGAAGAAGAAGAAGAAUAAAGAGGUAAGAAUUUUUAUUUCUCUCCCCCUCACCCCUUUUCCCUGCUGCUGAAAACAGCAGCAGCAGUAGCAGUUUUUGCUGCUGCUGCAAGCUAAAGCAGCAGCAGCAGCAGCUCUUGCUGCUGCUGCAAACAAGAGCAGCAGCAGCAGCAGCCCUUGCUGCUGCUGUGAGCAGGAGCAGCAGCAGCUUCCUGCUGCUGCUGUGAGCAAGGUAGGAGCAGCAGCAGCAGUAGACAGCAGCAACAGCUGCAGCCAGCAGCAGCAAGCAGCAGUAGCAGAGCAGCAGCAGCUGCUGGAGUAGCAGCAACAGUCAGCAGAGCAGCAGCAGCAGUCAGCAAGCGCAGCAGCAGCAGCUCAGCUUCAGCAGCAGCAGCUGCGCAGCAGCUCAGCAGGAGCAGAAGCAGGAACAGCAGUAGAAGCCUGCUGCUGCAGGGAAAGAAAAAGAAAGAAAAGAAAAGGAAGAAAGUAAGAAAGAAAAGAAAGAAAGAAAGAAAGGAAAAGAUGAGAAGAAAAAAAUGAAAGAAAGGGAAAUGAUAGAGAGAAAAAUGGAAUUGAAGUAUUUGGACAGUUUUUAUUAACUGUUUUGAGGCUCUUGGGCUAAUAAGAAUUGAAUUACGCUAUGUAAUUGUGAAACUUGCAUUGAACAGGGGUUUUUAUAGAAACUGACCCCGAUAAUGCACUUUUGCAGGAUAGAAGCCCUGACGUGAAAUUGACCGCGUACAAACCAAAUUGGGGGUAAAAGAAACGCGCUGGCGAAGUCGGUUCGGCAAUCCGUCGCUCCUACGCGAAGAUAUCGCCAAAAGAAGAUUUUCGGCGUCGAUAGUCGCUAGCGCGGGUCGCGGUUCUCGGGAAAGCGCUAGAAGCGCAUUUCUCCCAUUCCGGCAUCAAAGAAAGGUGGGUUGUGCUUACCGAAGUGAUUAGGUCACUUCCAUGCCAAAGUAGAUCAUGUUUUCAUUUGAUGCAUAUAUGAGGAUAAAUGUCGACAUAUGAACAUUCAUGCUAAAUGAAUAUGAAUAUGAGUAUGAAUAUGAAUAUGAAUAUGAAUAUGAAUAUGAAUACUAUAUGGAUGCUGGAUGCAUAGAUCUGAAUGCAUAGAUACGAAUAUGAAUGCUAAAUGCGUGUGAAUAUGAAUGUAAAUGCUAUGUGAAUGCUAUACGAAUGCUAUAUGAAUGCUAAUGCUAAAUUCAUAUGAUCAAAGAUAAGUUAUGCUAAUGCUACGUUCAUGUGAUAUAUAAUUGUUGAACCUGUAAAUGCCAAGGGCAUCUAAGUUAAAUAUGAAAUGUGAAUAUAUAUAUGCUAAAGCCUACAUACUAUAUGAAUGUCACUAUAUGCUAAAUGCUAAAGCCUAUAUAGAUGCCAAGGACAUAUAAGUUGAAUGUGAAAUGUGAAUAUAGAUGCUAUAUGAACGUCGCUAAUUCUAGUUGAUUCGAAUGGUAUGUAAACUAUGAACUUCAUGUGAAAUCCCUAAGAAUCGGGUAUAAAUCGACAACUCCAAUUGAGUAGAAAUCUGGACACUGGACAGUAACAAAGUAAAUGAAAUUGUGCAAAUUAUGAUCCUAGAUAUGAAUAACUAGGAUAAUGAAUAGAUCGAAUGGCAUGAAAUAAACCUAGUGUUAUUGAACAUAGGUAGGACAUAAACCUAGUGUCAUUGGACCUAGGUCGAGUGUGUAAACCUAGAGUUGAGAUCUAGGAGAAAGUAUAUAAAACCUAGUGUAAGUGAACCUAGGUUAUGAUGUAAAGAACCACUUAGUAAAAGUAAACUAAGUUGUGAAUCAUAGUGGCAGUAGGACCACUAGAAAGUGAAUAGAAUAGACCUAGAAAGGUCGUCGACAUAGGGUAAAAGAGUAAACCCUUUAGUUGUGAAAAUGGAUUCCGGAAUCCCUAGGAAUGGUGUGAUGGCAGAAAUAGAAUCUUAACUACGGGAUUGACGGUUCUCCUCUCCCGGUAGUGAUUCAACGGGAUCGACGGUUCUCCUCUCCCGGUAUGCCAUGAAACAAGUGAAGUGAAUCGAAACUACGGGAUUGACGGUUCUCCUCUCCCGGUAGUGAUUCAACGGGAUUGACGGUUCUCCUCUCCCGGUUGAGCUAACGGGUUUGACGGUUCUCCUCGCCCGUUGAGCUUGAGCGACUUAGGGUCACGGGGAUCGACGGUUCUCCUCUCCCUGUGAUGGACCUAGUGUCGCGUGGACUUAAGGCUGAGGUGUUGUGAGACGUCCUUCACCUCGAGCCUGACUUGACGCGGUACUCCGCGGUUGAUUGACUCAAGACCGAGUCGAGUGGCUAGAUGGCUAAGGUAAAGUAACCUUAGGAAAGAAUCGCCAGUGAGUACAGUAAGAAUAAAGAAUAAAGCAUAAAGAAAAGAAUAAAGAAAAUAGCUAAUGAAUGAAACUAGCUAAGAAAGAAUAAAACGGCUACAAGUAAAGAAUGGCUAAUGAUAUAAAGUAGAAUCAAGUAAUCUACUUACAUGAUUUACAGGUAUUGCAUAUUGCAUAGCAGCGAGGCAAGGUAUGGUUUUAUUUGUUGCAUAGUCAAAUAUCUAUCUAUCUAUUUGUUGAACUAACCUACUGUUGCCUCCUUUGGACCUGGUGGGUCGAGCUCUUCUCUUGGGUGGCCGUACCCACUGGGAACUAUAUUUAUAUAGUUCUCACCCCCGUGUUGUUUUGGGGGUACAGGUUGCACGCGAGCGGCGCGGCGGCGCGAGGACAGGGCGUAGCUUCGUAGAUAGCGCCCCACCACUGAGACUGAGAUAGCAACACCCUGAAGAGGUCAAGUUCAGAGUUCAAAUGGAAAGAAACAAAAUUGUAGUAAUUUGUAUAAGUUUCGUAUUAACUUAAAAGCAUAUGUGGUUAUGUAAAUGUAAAAUAUUGUAAAUGUAAAAGAAUCUCUGAGAUGAAUGCUUGUAAUAGCAUAGUUUGCACUUUAUGUUUUUGAUACAUAUGCAAUCUACAUACUUGCUACAGUUCCUGUUUGGAACCUCUUGUAUUGCAUUGUUUAGAUUGUUGACGCCUAGAACGUACAGGGGAGGCUCUGUCCGUUCGGCGGUCUGUCGACGAGCCCGAAUCUGACCAAAUAGGCGGAGCUCGGGGCGUGACAGCUAGUGUUAUAGAAUAGUUAAUAAUGUAAAGAAUGAUUAGCGAUAAUGAAUGACUAAGAGUAAAGAAUGGUUAAGAGUAAAGAGUAUGAUCAUUUAAUCUACUUGCAUUGUUGCAUAAAUUGCAUAUAGAAUGGCAUAAUCGUAUUUGUGAGGCAAAGCAUGAUAUUUGUUAGUUGCAUAAAUUAUGAUUUCAUAUCUAUCUAUUGAACUAACAUGUUGUUUGCCUCCCUUGGACCUGUUGGUCAAGCUUUUUCCUUAGGUGGCCGUACCCACCGGAAACUAUGGAGUUAGUUCUCACCCCACGUUGCUUUGGGGUGUUACAGGUUCGCACGUGAGCGGCGCGGCGGCGCGAGGCAAGGGCGUAGCUCCGUAGAUAACGCCUUACCCUGAAACCAGAGAUAGCAGUGCCCCGAGUCGGCAUAGCCUAGGGGUAUAGAAAUGAAAAGAACACAAAUGUAAUAAACUUGUAGUACAUUGUAAUAACUUAAUUGCAUUUGGGAGUUGAAUGUAAUGUAAAAUAAAAACUGAGAUAUGAAUGCUUGUAAUAGCUAGUAGUUUUAUAUUUUUGAUACUUUCUUAUGCAAUCUUUGAUUGAAAUGUGUUCCUGGUUGGAACAUCGUACAUUGUAUUGAUUGCGACGCCUUGGACGUACAGGGCAGACUCUGUCCGCGGUACAGAAAAAAUCCUGUCCGUUCGGCGGUCUAUUGGCGUGCCCAAUUCCGGCCAAAGAGGCGGGCUCGGGGCGUGACAGAUAAGAUUAUAUCAGAGCAUAAAAGAGUAUAAAAGGAGUAUGAAAGAAUAUAAGAGAAUAAUAGAAAUGAUUUAGCUUGACCUAGGAGACCUUAGGAUAGUAAACUAUAGGAGAUUAAGGCUCGUGAGAGACGAGAACUUGUGAUUUGUGGCGAUAGGUUGAGCGAUUGGGUCAAGUUAGUAAACCUCUAAAAACGAGAUUAGAGGUAGAUUCAAGGUAUGGUUUAUUCUCAAUUGAGAGUGUUCAUGUUGGCGCGCGACAACAUGAAACCGAGUGAUGAGAAUAGACGCCCUUGCGUAACUUUCGCCCGAUUUGAGUCGGUAUAAGUUGUCUCGUGUACGACCCAGAGGGUCGAGGGUUAACGAAGUUGUUGCGUUUAGGAAGCGAUGGCACCACAUAGGCGAUCUUCGUAUUGAUCGCCGCGGGAUGGGACAAAUGGUGUCCAUGAGCAAUUUGAGGCGAGCGGAGAAAUGGAACUUCGCAAGUAAUUAGCCACUCUCGUGGGAGUGGCAAGGUACGAGCCGAUUAGGUGCAACAACAGUAGGAGGCUGCCAUGCGCUUGAGGGAGCGAGCUCUGGCGGCCCUCGUGACCUUCAAGAGGUUAGUGAAUCCUCGUCGUGUUAAACCACUCUCGGUCAAGUUGACCAAAGUGCAUCGAGAGAAAUAGUUGGACAAAGUCCAAUUGACAUUCCAACAAUAUUGGAAGGGUCAAAAUUGUGUUCUAAAGGAGUUAGAAAGGUUUUAACAUUGGUUGGCAUAAAUAGAAGCUGAACAAGUGCCAAAACUGCAGUCUGGGCAUUUUGUAUUGGUACAACAUCAAUGUUGUACCGAUAUCAUAUAGCAGACCGAGAGAGAGAGCUCUUGGGUUUGCCUCUGCGAAGUGUUGUAACCGGUGACAAGCUGAAAGUGUACCAGUACCAAAUGUUAAACCCGAGCAGAUUGCCCUUGGGUUUGCCUCUGCGAGAUCGUGUAACCGGUGACAACCUACCUUGUACCGGUACGCGUUAAGAGAUGGGUUGUGCUCACCGAAGAUAUAAGCUCACUUCUAUGUCGAAGUGAAGUGAGAUUUAUCAUUGAUGCAUAUAAUGAUAGCUAGUUGUAAAAUAUAUGAAUGCAUGAGGUGAAUGCUAUGUUAACUACCAUUGGAUGCAUAAUGACAUAUUGUAGAAAUGCUAGAUGAAUGCAUGUGAUUGAUGCUAGUUGAAUGCAUAAGAUAAAUGGCAUAUAAAUGUUGACAUUGUGAGGAAAUGCUAGAGGUAACAUGCAUGUUAAUAUAUUGUGGAUUAUGUUAGAUAAUGACGCAUAUUGACAUAUGGUAGAAUAUGCUAGAUUCAGGUAGAUGUGAACUUGGGUCGAUAACUCUCGGUGGAUUAGAGAACUCGACAUUGGAAAAUAAGAACAUGAAAGCUAUAAUACUUGAUGUGGACAAGUAGGAUGUCAAGUAGAUCGAGUGGCAUUGAACCUAGUGUCGUGAACAUAGGUUGGAUAUGAGUGGCAUUGAACCUAGUGUUAGUAAAUAUAGGUUGAACAAGUGAACCUAGAAGUUGAGAUCUAGGUAGAGAUGACAUAAAACCUAGUGUGGUUGAACCUAGGUUGUGGACUAUAGUGGUAACACGACACUAUAGGGUUUGCAGAUGACCCUUGAGAUGUGGAACUGGAUUCCGGAAUCCCAGAACUUAUGGAACACCGAGAGGAGGUGUUGGGCAUGUGUGAUGAUUUCGCCGCCCGGGCUAAACCAUUGUUGGGCGUGUGCGACGAUUUCGCCACCAGAUAGUUAAGCCGGUUAUUGGAUUAUGCCGCCAGGUGACUUGAACCAGUGUUGGGCGUGUGCGACGAUUUCGCCGCCAGGUAGCUAAGUCAUGGAGUGCGGUAGGCUGUUAUAGCAGCCAGUGCACGUGUAAGGAAGUGAAUUCUCGAAAUACGAGAGUUGAACUUCGAUUAGAAUCGACUAAUUGUCGAUUGGGUGCCCUUAGGAAAAGCUGAGGACAUAAAAAAUGCAUAAAGUGUAUUGCGAGGGGUCUUCGAGAUCGAGCUGGGGCAAUUUUGCUAAGACUGCAGCUUUUGUGCUCUCGGGGACCGGUCCCUCAGGCAAGGACCGGUCCUCAGGGGUCCGAUCUCUCAGACAAGGACCGGUUCCCGUGAGCAUAGGAUUUGGGUUUGGAGUGUCCUACGAGAGAUUUGCUCUCGAGGACCGGUCCCUCUGGGAGAGACCAGUCCCUGUGUGCGUGUGGAGGCAGCAGCAGCCUGCUUCCUGUGGAGUAUUACUCUCAGGGACCGGUCCCUCGCUGAAGAGACCGGUCCCCGUAGCCCGAGUCUGCCCAGAAUGGGCCGUGCAUGAGUGGGGAAGUUGAGAGGCCUAUUUGCAAUGUUGCAUUAGAGGGGUUAUAUGAGAGGGGUUAUUCUCAUUUCUCUCCCUCUCUCCCUCACAACUAAACCCUAAACUCUCUCUCACUCUCUCUAGAAUAGCUCUCUCUCUCUCUCAUCAAAGAGGGAGCAAGGAGGAGGGAAGGAAGAAGAAGAAGACAAGGAGAAAGAGAGCCAUCUUUAUCUUCUUCUUCUUGUGCUUGGAGCAAGCUUGGAUAGGUAAGCUUCUUGAAGCAACAAUGGUGAUUUCUUAGAGUUUAGUUUGUGUACUCUAAGAAUGGUUUAGAUGGAACCCUAGCAUGCUAUCUAGAUGAUUGAUACCUAAUUCAUAAAAGGAUUUGAUGGAUUUGGCGUUAGUAGCAUCUAGGGCAUCCAAAAGGGGGUUUUUGUAAAUAGUUAAGUUUGAUCUCAAUUGACCCUUUGUUAACCUAAUUGCUAGGUGUACGAACGCGUUGGCGAGGUCAGUUCAGCGAUUCGUCGAGCCUACGCGAAGAUAUUGAAGAAAUGGAGGAUUUAGCUUCGUUUCCACCUGGAGGACCGAGGCGGCGUCCAUAAAUUGUGAAAACGGAUUCCGGGCGUCGUGGCAACUAACUGAAGACCUAUAAUUCCCGGAACUGCAAGGCGACGCACGGUUGUUGAGCGUUGGCAAGAUCAGGCCAAACCGGGUGCCGAGUGCCGCGGGAGGCCGAUUGCAAGUGUCGACAAGCAAUCGGAGAGCAAACUAAGGUGGGUUGUGCUUACCGAAACGAAUAGGUCGCCGUUACGUCUAAGAGAAAUGUGAAUUCAUGUUGAUGCAUAUGAAUGCUAGACGAUGCAUGUAGUAAAUACUAAAGAAUGUAUGUUAAUAACAUAAUGUAGAAAUACUAAAAUGCACGAUGAGCAUGAUAUGUAAAUGCUAGGUAAUUGCAUGAAUGCAUGAUUAGCAUUGUGAGGAUAUGCUGGGUACAUAUGCAUGUGAAUGGGAUCGAUAACCCUAGAGUGAGUAGAGAACUCGACAAUGGAAAAUAGUAGUGUGAAAUGCUCGAUUGGACAACUAGGAUGUCGAAUAGAUCGAGUGGCAUUAAACCUAGUGUUAAAGAACAUAGGUUGUGAAUGAACCUAGAGUCAAAUAGAUCUAGGUGAGUGGCAUCCAACCUAGUGCCGUGAACAUAGGUUGAUCAGGAAUGACAUAGAACCUAGUGUUAAUAAACAUAGGUCGGACAUGAAUGAUAUGGAACCUAGAGUGUUGGAACCUAGCUUAUGACAUGUAGUAAACCUAGAGUGGCAUUGAACCUAGGUUGUUGAGCAUAGUGGCAGCAGCUACUAGGAUGUUCUUGGUCGAACCUAGAUAGGUCGACAGUAUAGGGUUGGAUAUGGACCCUUGACCUGUGGAAGUGGAUUCCGGAAUCCCAGGACUUGAGAUGACCUCGGUAUCAAGGCUAGGGUGUGUGCGACGAUUUCGCCGCUGAGAUUGAUACCAAGAUGGAUUGGGUGUGUGUACAGUGUUCGCCACCCGGAGGCUUGAAACAUGGCUGGGCGUGUACGACGAUUUCGCCGCCAGAUGGUUAAGCCGAUUGUGAAUUAGGCCGCUAGGUGGCUGUAAUGUACGGAAAAUUCGGAAAAUAAAUAUCGAACUUUAGUCAAGUUGACCAAAGUGCGAGGAUGGUACACUUCGGAAAGUCCGAAGGUGUUGAAAUGACCAAAAGUGAGUUACGGGAGGUUUUCGAGAGCUAAAAUUGUGAAAUCUGCAUUCUGCAGGUUUUCAGCUCUCGGGGACCGGUCCCUAGUGGGAGAGNUGUGGAAAAGCUCGAAAUACAACCAAACACUCGAACCUCGCAAUUUGCAAAGGUCCAGUGUGUUACAGAAUGUUUAGUUUUCCUUUCUUUCACUAAUGGCUAUUGCUUACCCUCGUGUAAGCCGUUUGUNGUGUAUGUUUCCGCUAGUGCAAUUCUUGUUUGAAUUUUGUACAUGUGAUGAGCCUUGGGCGGAUAGGGGAAACUCUGUCCGUUCGGCGUCUGUUUGACGUGCUCUGGUCGGGCCAAAUUGGUAUCGGUCCCGGGGCGUGACAGUGGCUUAAGCCCAUUCAGCGUGUGCGACGAUUUCUAUAUGGGGCUAAGUCACGAAGGGCGGUAGGCUGAGGUGCAGCUAGUGCGCGGAUUAUCUGCGGAUGAUUGACUCGAAGCCGAGUCGGGUGGAUAGCUUAGAUGAGGUAGUGGAAACCUUGAAAGCUAGAGAUAGAUGGCAUGAGCUAAGGGAAUAGAAACCUUAGAAGCAAGUGAAACUUGAAUCGUGAACCUAAGGUAGUAGAAACCUUAGAGAUGAAUGAUAUGAGCCAAAGAUAGCAAAGUUGAACGUAGAAUCAAUAGAUCUACUAGUUGAUUGCAUAUAUUCACAUUGCAUAUUGCGAGGCAUGUUAUCUGUUAGUUGCAUAAUAACAUGAUGAUAUAUAUAUCUAUAGAUGUUUUUGGACUAACAUGAUUGCAGUGCCUCCUUGGACCUAUUGGUCGAGCUUUUUCCUUGGGUAGCCGUACACACUGGGAACCAUGGAGUUGGUUCUCACCCCACGUUAUUUUGGGGUGUUGCAAGUUCGCACGUGAGCGGCGCAGCGGCGCAAGGCAAAGGCGUAGUUUCAUAGAUAGUGCCCUACCCCCGAGACCGAGAUAGCGGUACCCCGAGUCGGCAUAGCCUAGGGGUAGAGGGAAGGAAAAAGUAAAAGUUGUAAUAAAUUUGUAAUAACUUAGAUUGUAUUUUGAAAGUAAUAUGUAAUUGGGAUGUAUAAAGCAUGCAUGUGAAUGCUUGUAAUAGUUAGCUAUUUAUAUUUUUGAUACUUCCUUAUGCAGUCUGAAUGUUGAAUACUGUUCCUGGUUGGAACCCUUGUAUUGUAUUGAUUGCGACUCCUAGGACGUACAGGGAAAACUCUAUCCGUUCGGCGGUCUGUCGGCGUACCAGAAUCCGACCAAAUAGGCGGGGCACGGGGCGUGACAGCGCGGUAGUCCGUGGAUGAUUGACUCGAGGCCAGUCGUGUGGAUAGCUUGGUUAAGGUGGUAGAAACCUUAAAAGCUAGUGAUAAAUGACAAGAGCUAAGGUAACAGAGACCUUAGAAGUAAGUUGGACUUGAGUUGUGAGCCUAAGGUAAUAGAAACCUUAAAAGCUAGAUGACAUGAGCUAUGGAUAGCAGAGUUGAAUGUAGGAUCAAUUGAUCUACUAGUUGAUUGCAUAAUUGCAUGAUUUUCAUAUUGCAUGUUAAGAGGCAUAACAUGUAUUUCAAUACUUGCAUAAAUAUCUGUUGGAUAUCUGUUGGAGUAACAUGUUGCAGUGCCUCCUUGGACCUGGUGGAUCGAGCUCUUCCUUUGGGGGCCGUACCCACUGGGAACUAUAAUUAUAUAGUUUUCACCCCCGUGUGGUUUUGGGGGUUUUAGGUUCACACGCGAGCGGCGCGGCGGUGCGAGAAAAGGGCGUAGCUCUAUAGAUAGCGCCCUACCCCGAGACCAGAGAUAGCGGUACCCCGAAAUGACUUAGCUUAGGGGUUAGAAAUGAGUGUAACAAACUUGUAAUAAAUUUGUAAUAACUAGAUUGUAAUUUGGAAGUUGAAUGUAAGCAAAAAUGCAAUAUGUUCAAAUGCUUGUGAGUUGAAUGCUUGUAAUAGUAUAGUAUUUAUUUUUUUGAUACUUCCUUAUGCAAUCUGUAUGUUGAAUUAUGUUCCUAGUUGGAACAUCGUGAAAUGUAUGGAUUGUGAUGCCUAGGACGUAUAGGGGAGACUCUGUCCAUUCGGCGGUCUGUCAGCGUGCCCGAAUCCAACCAAAUUGGCGGGUCCCGGGGCGUGACACCAAAGCUCCAAGCUGGGCUCACACUUGUGCUAAGAUUGGAAAUUAUCCUCUGGAAUAUCUCCUUCUUCGCUUCUUCAGCUCCUCCGAGAACUUCAAAACAGCUAUCAUAAGGAGAAGAGAAGAGCUUAAAUCCAUCAAUUUCCAUCCAAAAGUUGGAAUGGAAUCUAGAGAGAGAAAGAAGGAAACUUACCCUAUUUUCGUCCAAGCUUAAGCACAAAGAACCCAGCUUGUCGGUUUGGGGAUUAAAAUGAUAACCUCAACUGCAAAAUUACUAAAAAAUUUCUUACCAACUCAUUCUGCCGCAUUGAGUACCGCUUAAACAGCUAAAACCCGAGCGCUGUCAGCUGGGUUUUAACACAGUGUACCGGUACUAGCUAAAUGCUAUUCGGUACCCAGUUCCAGUUUCUCCAACCCAAGAGCUACGCAAUCUGUCAACCCUCUUAGGUACCGGUACCACACUCAGGUACCGGUACUCAACCCUCAAAAAACUCAACUACGAUGCCACUAGCAUAUAUUUAUGAAUGAUUUCCAAUUCUAGGAUAAGAACAAGAACAUAGAAGGAAUUCAUCCAUUUCGGUGAGGUCAAACCCACCGAAUACUCAUUGACUCCCUCCGACAACUCGAGCAAAGAUGCUCUCUAGUCUCCAACACCCUAUUAACCUGUCACGCCCCGAGACCGCCAGUUUGGCUAGUUCGGGCGCGUCAAACAGACGCCGAACGGACAGCACCACCCCUGUCCGCCCAAGGCUCAACCACGAGAUCAUGUACAAGAAUUCGCCCAGGAACAAUUCAAUACAUACAUGAUCCAAUCUAACAAGGAGAGAAGCACCACAAGUGCUAAACAAUAAGAGCAAGUAAUACAAGUAUACAUACAAGUGCACAAAAGAGAGUGUCACGCCCCGCCCCGAAUCCACUACCAAUUUGGCACGGUUCGGCCGCGGCGGUGGGCCGCCGAACGGACAGCACCUCCCCUAUCCGCCCAAUGCUUAACAACAAGAAUGUGUACAAGAAUUUACCCAGGAAAUUAAAUUCUAAGCAUACACAUUCACCGGGGCACAAACAAUGCCAACAACACAAAGAGCAAGCGAUCCUGUCACGCCCGGGUACAAGCGGAAGCAUAUUCGGUACGUGCACAGACCCGCCAUACACCUGCAGUAUAUAAGGCGUCUACAGAAGCAAAUCGAUAGGAAGUAAAACAAAGAAAGUCCUAACCUGAUAUCAGAGCAAAAAUACAAGUCGACAAUACUAUGAGUACAUAAACCAAAAUCUCAACUAUAAGAGAAAGUAUCACAACUGUAGAGUCUGUCCAAGGAGUGAAAUAUACAAUAUGGGGUAUACAAAAAUUAGGUACAAUGGUGGUCUCUCUAUAUAUAUAGGGCCAUCACCCUCGGCCGUAGCCCGAGUAGCAAGGUGAUCGACUAGCACGCUCCUAGUAGUCCCUAGCUAGGCGCGACUCCCUUGCCACGAUCCCUAGCCUCUCCUGUAACAGGCUCUGUAAAAACAACCACCAAAAGGGCGUGAGAACUAUAAACAAUAGUUCCCAGUGGGUAAUGCCUCAUGCAGCCUCGGCGAAUUACACACUUAGGUCAAUAUGUAUAAUUGAAACAAAAAACGAUAAUUGCCUAGAUGUUAAGCAAUGAUGUAACAUAAUGAGAUGUCAAAUUAAUAGGUAUUCUUACAGUAAUGAAUCAUUAUGUCAUAAUAGGGAUAUGGCAAUUUCUUAAUCAUGACAAAAAGAAUUAAGCACAAACUGAAAUGACAUCUGUAACUUUAAUUAAUAAAUUCAUUACUUCCUUUAUUGUAGUUACUAUCUUCAUUCACAGGGACUCUACAAAAAGUAUCCAGCUUGGCCGCCCCUAAUGGCCGUGGUAGUUACAUCCCCACGGAAUCCCUUCGGCACCCCAAUCCGCACGGCGAGCAACUGUCGCGUAGGCAAACGAGUGCCGGUUGUAGGAGCUACCUAACAAGCUGUCGAAUUGACAAUGGCAAGCAACAAAGUCAUUGUUCCACAUGUCACAAUUUUAUAUUUCAAUGCAAGUUCUUAACUCGAUCUCUGAUCGUAAUUCAACCACAAAUAUGAACAACAAACUAGGAAUCAUUAGUUUGAGUAAGCCAUUGCAGUAGUAUGCUAAUUUACAGCAUUAGAUUUUUCCAUAUCAUGCACUACAAGAAUAGUCCAAAGAUUUCAUUGUUCUUACUUUUAGAUCAAAGGAGAAUGUUAUUGUAUCUCUACUGUAUAAGUGCAUCUACAUUGUUCAUCAUCAUUCUACAAACAUUAGACAUGAUCAUAAAUAUGUUAUUAUGUAGUCUCUCUACUUUAAAAAUUAUCUCUUGUUUGUUCAUUUAACUAAACAAGAAUACUUCUGAUGCAAUAAUAUUUUUAUGCAUGGAUGCUCUUUACUUCAUAAAGGUUCUAAUAUCAAACUAAAUCAAAAUUCUAUAAUAAACAUUUAAAGUAUUUCCGUCCUCAGUAAUCGCAAGUAUUCACACUAAUCGAUUGCGAACUACAUUCAUAGUACCAUAUAUAACAUAGGGGAGAUUCCAACUUUGCUUGUUUAGGUCAAAAGCCACCUAGUACUAAAGUCAAAAAAUCAGACUAAAAGAAUUCCACAGUGUCACCCCUUUGUGCCUCAACCUGACUGAAAAUGAAAAAGAGUUGCAUUAAACGAUAUUAAAGUAUACUUCGGCCAAUCUCAAUAAAUACAAUGGAAGCUCAAUCCCUGUAUUGUCAGUUUCAAUACUUACGUAAGCUUCCCAAGAGGCUUCCGAGCAAGCGAAGCGGGUCUCAAGGUCACAGCUCACUUCGAACAUACCCGUAAAGACACAAUGCUCACUCAAGCUUUAUAAUCGAUUAGCCUAACUAAAUCAGUUUGUAGAAGCUUAAAAUCCAGGUAACUCAAGAUAGAACACCUUCACAACCUCAAUCAACCGAAUAAGCCUCAAAUUUAAUAUCGAAAACUGAACUGUCGAAGAAGUAAUCCCAAACUGCAUCAAUACGGCCAAACCCCUUUAUUCCAAUUAAAUCAUAAUGAAUAAUUUAUUGCUACGUAAGCUUAACAUAGCUUAUCCCUUGAUUAAGGGGUUCAUCACAAAGAUAGUUAACUCAUUUUUCACAUGCUGAAAUCUCAGCGUUAAAACAGCGGUAACAAAUCUUGUAAAUCAAUAUACUCGAUUCGACUAUAUAGACAUAUCCUAUAGAUGAGUUAUUAUCUCUAUUAAGCUUUCAACAUUAAACAAUUGUCCAGAGCUGCGAAACCGUCCAAGUACUCUUCCACAUGUCACAAGUCUCAGCAACAUCCCAAAUAAGAAAGACGGAGGACGCUUUCCGGCGACACAACGUGCAAAACGCACGGACUUUUUGUAAAGAGAGAAAAAUCUUAGAGAGAGAAGCUCGAGAAAGAUGGUAAGCUUUUUCUGUCUCAGCAACAUCACAAAGCUCCUGGUCGGCUGGGUCAAGUAGAUAGGUAUCAAGAUGAAAUUACCGAAAUACUCAAAAUUGCCAGUUUGCAUUGAAUAUACGCGUAAACUAAUGCUGUCGCAGUACAGCAAGUCAAAAAAGCUAUUUUCGCCGGUUCAAUGCACAUUUUGUUUCGAAUUCGAUCACUCUCAAACUUUGUGUUAAAUUCUUUAAACCUUUUACAUGUGGGAGGUUCACAUAUCAUCUACACUCAAUUUCGCAAAUGGCAAAAUUCGGUAUUAACAGAUCACAGAUAAACAAAGUGAAAUAAAGAGAAUACUUUGCUAAAUAUUACAAUAGUUCUCAUUUUCUUUAAGAAUACAAUUUUCAUCCAAAAUACAUAGCUCUCCAAACCUCACUACACAUUGAAAUCUUUCUAAUACAUAUGUACGCCCUGGGACCGAUCAAUUUGCGGCACUCGAGAACGUUCAAACAGACGCGAAAAGGAAGAUUUUCUCCUGUCCGCCCAGGCUUAAAUGUACAUUUUCAUCGAAAAUGAGAAUAGCACUAGCGAACAAUACAAAAACAGCUUACACUGAGUGAUAAGCAAUACCAAUUUAGAAGAAGGAAAACUAAACAUCAUACACAAUAUAUUCAUUUAGAUCAUAUUACAUUGCAUCAUUUACAUUUAAUUCUUUGCAUUUCGUUAUCAUUUCUUUUUUACAUCAAUUUUACGCAAUAACACAUUACAUUCUAUUCUUUCAUCUUUACAAUCCAUAUACAAAAGAUUAUCAUAGGGAACGUGACUAACAAGAUUAAACUGCAAACUCAACUCUUUAGGCUCUGUUAAGGCACGAUACCGGACCUCGUCGCUUGGUGCCGCCGGUUCCGGCUCUGUGGAAAUAGUUGGUUGAGAAUUACAACAAAGUUCCAGUUGGAUUCGGCCUCAUACAACGUACUUUCCACUAGGAUAACUCAGAAUAUAGAAAGAAUAGACUGUUAUAGAUUAACCAAUUAUAAAUGAUCUAUAUGCUUGAACAAUAAACAAGAGUAUGUUCACGUUAAACAUAUUGCCAUUGCAAGUUCUUCGUUCUUUUACACUUACACUUUAUCACUUUUCUUUUUGCUCUUUGUUCUUUAUUACUUUAAUCUCAGUAACGUGUUUCUCCACUAUUUAAUGCUUCACAUUAAGUCCAUCAUCGCUAGAAACUUCAUCCGCUAGACCGUUUGUCUCUGGUUACUCACCUGAUGCAUCACUCCGGAGGAAUUCGUCGAGUGGGAGCGACCGCCUCUGACACUAACUCAUAGCAAGUAUUGAUAAAUCCUUAACUCAAAGGAUUAAAGUUCAAUCUUGACUUACACUUCUAGCUCAGGGUUCUUUAUCAUCACUUUUGUUCAAACUCUGCUAAUCACUAUUCUUUACAUUUUCUGUUAUUUGCUACUCAGGUCAAUUAUAUUUUACAUCUUUUAUUUGCUACUUACACUUAUCUUUACUCCCCCUAUACUUUAACUUUUUAGACAUGUUAUUUCCUCAUUCUGUACGUCCGAAUUUAUUUGCAUCACACUAUAUCUAGUGUUCUCUUUACUUUACAGUUUCAAAUUGCCACUCGAUUUUUAAUAGUAUCACUCGUUCUUUAUCACUUUGGGUGCUCGAUUUUUCUCUAUGAUACACAUAGGAUUUCGAAUUUACAUAGUUUCUCAUUCAUCAUAUUAUGCAAGUUUACUACAAUCAUGCAACAUUAACUUUUUCAUCAUUACUUUACCCUAGUAUGCAUGCAACAUAUAUAUAUUACUUAUGUCAAUGAAUAUUGCACAUUAGUCUUAGAGGAAAGAAUUUCAACGAGUUUGCGAUAAUGCACACAUACCUCGUAGGUUUAAAGGUGCUCGACGAUUCUUGGUAUUUUUAGACACCGGUCUCUACUGCGCAAAACGAACCCUAUUAGGCAAUUGUCAUAUCUUUUAAUCGGCUUUUCGUAAGCUAUCCAAGGCAACCAAACACUCGGAAGUACUACAAUUAUUGUUUUAGAUGAGGUCAAUUCCUUAGAAUAUUUCCUAUGUACAAAGCCCAAUUUGGGCCUAGUCAAUUAUAUCAAACCUAGGAUUUGAUCUCAAAGAGGAAGCAAAAGUAGCCAUUUUACUCUAAUAGUCAUUAGAACCAUUCUUGUCUUUCCAAACCUAGAUUGGAUGUUCACCAUGAGAGGUGGUCCAAGCUACUCUGAUAAGCAAAUCCAAGGUAUUAUCUCUAAAGAAGCAAAAGAAAGCCUUCAAAACGCAUAAACAAUCAUUUAAAACAUUUUCUAUUCAUUUCAAAAUCAAUUUCUAGGUUUUUACCAUUAGGUUUCAAAGUUAAUUGUAGCUUCUCUUUUUUCAUAAGUAGAGAAGAUGAAGCUCUUUGCUUUAUCUUUUUCACCUUUUUUUCCUUAUUCUCCUUUUUUAUCCUCUUUUCUCUCUUUGUUUCUAGAGAGAGGGAAGAAGAGAGUGUGAGAGGGGGUAAAAUAGAAAAAUAUAUAAUUUACCCUCAAAAUAACAAUUUGGCUUGCAAAAUGCUAAUAAACACUCAAAUUUACUAUUUCACCAGUCUGGCUGGGGCAGUUUUCAAGGCAGCAGGAGUUGACGGUUAUCCCAACAAGACCGUCGUCGAAUGUCACCCUGCGCAGCCAGAGGCUAGGCAAUGCAUCCGGGGUCCAUUGAGGGAACGGAUCUCUCGACCGGCUCUCUCAGCAGGAGGGACUAUUUCGAGAGCUACUUCUAGGAUAGCGAUUUUUCGCCUGUAUAUUCUCCUGGCAGAGACCGGUCGCCUCACGAGGGAACCAGGGUCCCAGAGCUCAAAACCUUGACAGUUGAGUUUUUGAUUCCUAAGCUCUCGAGAAACUCCAUAACACCGUUUUUAUAUUUUAACACUCUUCUAACUUUCCGAAAUUACACAUCUCACAUUGAUCAAUUUGACUAAAAGUUCUAUAUUUAUAUUUCCAUAUUUCGUGUAUAUCACAUUCUCACCUCUUAAAUAUUUGUCCUGCUAUAAAUUAGCAUAUCUUAAUAAUUGACUCGAAUAAUCUGAGAUACUCUCUGACCAUGUUUCUUCUCCUCAAGUGGCUUCAGAUCGACGCAGCAUGUUUGAUCCAUGGCCUUUUAAUACGAUCUUGCAGAAACUUCGCAACUUCUUCACUUGCUCUAUCGAGGAAUGCACAACCGGUAUCUCUAGAAAUGUUCCUCAGUAGCAUCCACGUCUGUACCCCCCCCCGAUGCAAGCCAAUUUGCGUCGGUAUCUAAGGGAGCGAAUCGAUACGGACAACGAACGGCAGAGUUCUCCCUGUCUGCUAAGGCUCAAGCAAUUCAUACACAAGUUCCAGGAAAUACACUGUUAAUAUAUAUAUACAUGAUAGCGAAGGCCAACAGUGCAAAAAACAAGAGCAUUAGCAUCAACGAGUAACCAAAUACAGUGAUUAAAAGAAGCGUACUAAUCAUUACAAUCAUUCAACUUAAACAUUGUUACAUUUAACUUCAAAGCAUUAUAAACAUUAAUUAUAUAUCAAAAACUCACACAUAUAAACAAUCAUUCUCUCAAAAUAGAAAUAGGUACUACUAAAUCUAGAAUAAGAACUACUACUACAACCUAUAGGAGCGCUAAAGCCUACUCCGAUCCAAUCACCGAUGUACAAGACUAGUACUCUACUUUACCCCAAAAACACACGGGUGAGACUUACGAAUAGUUUCCAUGGGUUCGGCGACCACUCCCGAAUGCUCCACCGUAGGCUAAGACAGGCACUAAGAGAGAUAAUGCAAAUGAUAGAUAUUGUGCUGAAUUUGAAGCAUUUAAAUUAAACAAUAGUUUAAGUGUAUAAAUAAACAUACUAAUAUCUAUCUCAAUAAUGCAUGCAUAACUUUAAUCAAUAGUAAAUAACUACCAACUCUAACUACAUGAGCUUCAAACAAUAUUGAAAAUGCCAAUCUUAUCUAUAACAACACAGCGUUAGAUCCGCUCAACUCACAACCAAUCACAACUACUUUAACGGGGUCAGGAUCCGUCAACUCGCCCGGACUAGUCUAUAUAAACUCGGGAGUAUCGCAUCACUCGCCGACUCACAAUCUAACACUUCGGCGCAUGAUACCGCCUCUCACCAUUAUCCGAAUGAACACAUACCACACCCAUCUAAUCUCACAGAUGAAAGGAUGUCCAAUCACAUGACUCACAUGGUUAGAUCAGCUCAUCGCCCAAUAAUUGUAUCUUGCGGCCCAAAAAGCUAUAACUCAGGACCAAAAGGUUAUCCUAUCGUAGAUAUGUGAACAACUCCGAAAUAAGACUUGUGUGGAGGACCACUCAAGCUGCGAACAAGAAACAUGGAUGAGGUGGUAUGAUAUUCCUCCAUCAUUUGAGGAUACCCUACACUCUAGGAACACAUUGGUAGGGAAAUAGGGGCUCAAUCUUCUAUUCAACAUUCAAAUGAGAGUUUUGUAUGUUAACUUCUAAGUUCAUCUAAUGGCACUCGUGAUUGAUAUUCAAUGUUACUAGAUUCAGGGGGGUUAUCAUCUUAGUGUUCUUUUAUACUACUCUUAGCAGUAACUCCUAGGUAUCAUUUUCGUGGUCAUGAUCCACAUAAGGAUAUGUCCGUUCUUGCAGACUAUCUUUUCAUUAUAGGGGGUUUGCAUAGGGUCAACUUGACGACGUUAGAUUUAGAGAUACUAAUUAUAGUAUAGACAAAAAUUAUACUUACAAUUCAUACUAGCAUGCUCAUAAGAACAUAGUUAACAAUUAAUUUAGCAUCCCUAUCAAAGGCAAAGCAUUAUCAAUAGUAAUUUGAUCGUAAAGAAUAGAACUCAGACAAAAGAGAGUCGACGUUGGAGAUGGCAAUUCUCCACAUUUAUGGUAUGCACAAGCCACGAUGUUCGAGUUCGUUAUUUAAGGAAGCUUUCGCGCGAAGCAUGCAGGAUCAUCGUACAUCAAACAAGCCUUUUCUAUCAAAAUAUGCUUGACCAGUCACAAAGACAUCAACGAACAGUCUUCUGACGGCGUUCAUAGGACUAGCAAUUAGGUUUGCGACCAUCAAAUUUAGUCAAAAUCCUAGAUUUUCAAAACCCCAUUUAUCAGCCCUAUUUGUCACAUGGACAAAGAAAAUCCACAGGUAGGUCUCUAUAUUCAGCAUAUAUCAUCUAUUAGAGAAGAUAGACGGAUAGUCCAACAAACCAAUUACAAAGAAUAAAAACCAACACAUUAAUAUUAGAGAAUUUGCAGAUGAAAGCUCUCAUGAGUUACUCCAAAGCAAGUCAGGUGGAAGGAAGUAAGAAUGGAGAGAGUAUUUCUAAUCCUUCUCUUCGGACCUUGUUCUCAGCAUAAUCGCUCUCCAAAUAUCACUUGUAAGAAGAGAAGGAAGAGCUUGAGGAGAGAAAGUAGUUCUUUGAUUGAGUCAAUGGUGAAGAGAAAAGGAGAGAAUGAUCAAGCUAACGUCCUCUACGUAUACCUUGCACAAUGUGUAAAGUCGAACUACAACAAUAUAAUCAUACACAGCACAAAAGGGCAAUAUGAAAUCUAAAGGGACGCGUUCUCUAAUUUGGAGGGCCGUCCCGUCAUGUCAGGAAAAACGUACAUUCAGCUUAGCCAAAUUUUCGCUUUUAGCUUUCGGAAGGUCCGUUUUCGCUCCUGUUUCGACACAAAACGUUUGACAUAACGAUGUUUCAAAUCGAACGAGACUCUCAAGAAUGUUUACGGCAAGUUUUCUUCUUUUUCUUUUUUAUUUAUCCUACCUAAUGCCGAGAUGAACUCAGAUGAGUUAAUCGAACAUAGUCUUUUCGGGUUAUAUUCAACGCUACUUGCGAACCGACUCAGCACCAGAAUGCUCGAAAAAAACAAAUAACGAACUUCAACCGGAACCUUAAUCAAAUGGCUCAUCCAACAAAUGUACAGCUAACUUCAUGAUUUAUAGAGAUCCAACAAAAAAAACGAAUAAAAAUGUUAAACCUUAAGGUCAUACACAGAAUAAUAGAAUGCCGCCAGUUGCGCAUUGACGUUCGGAAAUUAAACACAUGUAAAACAACAAUUGUCAGAUAAACUAACGCAGAGUCGAGAUUAGAUAAUUGACGAGUUGUAUGACUACCCGCACACACAAGCUAUAUCUCAAAAACCGUCGAAAUAAGAAGGAUUGCUUACAACGAACCACAAACGAUUUAACUCCUCGCAGCUCAUACUCUGCAAGAAUAUCGAAGUUCUCAAACCGGCGAACUCUAAAAUCCUUUCUCUUAAUCACGCAUAAACUCUUUUCGAAUGCGCAGACGCUAAUCAAUAGAUUGACGAGACCAGUCGAAUUUCUCCUUCCGACCGCCCGCACUAUACAAUCAGGAAAGACCAAGAGCGCUCUCAUCGCCACCCGUCGCUCCAAUGAUGAAUAGAGAGAACGAAUACUUCCAAAUAUAGGAUGCCUAAAAAUAGGCAAAGCAAUCCAUAUACUUUCUUGAUAGACAAUUAUGUAAGGCAUAACGCCAUUAAAGCAGAGAAAUUACAAUUUCCAAUCCAUACCUUAUUAAUCAUAGCACACAACAGCAAUCGAUAGAAGUCCGCAAGCAUUUAUGUCGCGCGACUAGUCCAUCCUUUGAGGAUGAAUUUGUACUGAAAGUCGAGACCGUUGCUAUCCGUCAUUUGAAAAUCUUUCAAAAAUUAGGAUUGAACCUGGAGGUCUCGAUCUGGCACAAUGAUAUUGGACAUGAAAAGUCCAAACCUCUCGAAGAUAAACUUGCGCUAAAGUGUCUCAUGGAGACCACGUAAGAUAAUGUAUCGUAGAAGUGCUGUACCGACUUUUAACAAGUCCAACAUCACCAUUGUAAUCGAAUGAGGGUGUGUCCGACCUUGGCGAUCGGAGGAAACAAGAUAACAAAUCCAUCGUACAUUAUCCUAUUCAAACGAAGUAUUGGCUUAGACUGAAGCUUUUCCGCUGAAGAAAUCAAGAAACAGCGCUCAAGGUAUCAUUAUUUGUCACGGUUAGACAUGCCCCAAACUCAACCAAUAGUCUUCUUUUCAUACCGGCGACCAAUAGCUGCCUUCAAGUCGCUUGUACAUGUUAAGGCCGGCCGGAAUGUAUAGCUUAUAAAGGAGAUUGAAAUGCGCUUUUGCUUAAUCAUCCUUCGCAAAUACCAUACAAUUAUUUAUAAGCAAUACCUAUCUUGAGCUUUCGAAAUCGAAAGAUGCAUCAGCCGAAUCAUCUCAAUGCAAAGUCUUCGGGCGAUACGGAUUUUCAUAAAAUCACUCCGCACCUUCUGGGAUUAUAUACGAACUGAAAUCUUAAUUUCAUAGGCGAGAUUGGCGACAACCCAAGCAAAAGGAGGUAAGAAUGUAACGCAAGGAAUCCCAGCAUACCAAAUUCAAACCCGAAUCGUGGUGAUCUUUCAAUAGAAUAGCGUGUUAGUUAUUUUGCUGUCCUUAAAAUAGUUCUCCGUACAUUUAAAUGUUCUGUAGAAGCACUCGCUACGACAUUGUAUAUUUCGGAAGGAGUGAUAAAUGUAUAGUGAAUGAAUAGUCCUUCAUUGACAUUACCCAACAUCAUGCAAGCAAAGAUUACGCAAUGAAUUCAGACUUUGUCAUAGAGAAGGAAGACAAGAAAGAAUAGAGUGAAACAAGUACAAUUUAAGACUUUGGUGAAAUACGGAGUAGAGUAUACCCACAAUGUCACCAUACAAUAGCCCAAAUCUUAGCCUGCAAAGAAAUCACAUCUGCUAACUCGAUGGUAUGUGAUGAUAUAUAUAUUAUAAUAAUUCUUCAACUGGGACGAUUUAAGCCAAAUGACCCGACCCUCAUGAAAUUUAUCAAGCAGCCAAAGACAAAUAUACGAGAUAUACUUCACUACAAGUCUCUCCCGGAGUUGCAAGGCAAGCGCAGAAAAAAAAAAAAAAGGGGUCGACGUCACCGUUCUUUAUACUCCUCUCGAAGCUACUCGAUCCAAUGUCGCAAUAAGACAAUAUUUACUUCUUUAUAGCGUAGAGUAGCCGUUUAAGGGGCAUGGUAUUUUGGCGAAAACCCCUCAUCACAGAAUAACCGCAAAGAGAUAGUAGCCGCAAGACAAGAAUAAUGCAUCUACGUAAUUCGAUGAGGGCACAAGAGGCCAAUACCAUUGAUUCGCUCUAACUUUCUAUGUCAGGUCUAACUGCACUCCUCGCCAAAGAUAAGCAAAAUUGAAACAGAAGAAUAGUGACUACCUGCAGAGCCAAAAGAUUCAAUUUCUUUAUAAACUUAUUGCUAUAGAGUUCUCUGAUCUGAAGUAUCUAAUAGCAACACCGCAACUCAAGUCAUUAAUGUCCUACUUCGAAUAUUUGGAAGAGUAAACCAAACGUCGUUCAAAUGAACACCACGAAAAACACCAAUCAGAUAAUCAACAAAAUGACAUAAAGAUCGAGUUCAUCAGCAAAGCAAUAAAUGCGGGUGAGCGGGCGAUUAAUAAGCAACCAAACGCAACAAGAUUUACGUCGAAACUGUAUACAUACGCGUACGAUACGAACCAAGUUUUGUAGCAUCCUUCGAGCCUGAUUCUUUAAUGAUAUUACCGAUUGGAGAUCAAAUCUAUUCGAAUACACUUGAGACCUUGCAAGACAUGAUCGAAUAGUAGUGAUCGUACUAUCCAUGAAGAAAUACUUGUUCUUUACGUCACUUUGUGAACUCGCAAAUAAUCUACCAGAGUCGAGUGUGGCCAUCAUUUUUCUACAAAUAGACGGAGUCCACACGAGACUACAUCUCGGACUCACGAAGCCUUUAUCGAGCAAAGUCUUUGUAGUGGCAGUAAUAUCUUUAUGCGAGCGCCACCGGGCAAUUGCUGUAGAGCCUUCAAAAAUGUGUUCCGCCCAGGAAUACAGUCAAUGAAACUCAACUUCACGAUUGUCAAGACUAGCAGGUCCCGGUAACUCGCGCCGGAAUAUUCAUCCGAUACUCGCACACUACUCAGAUAUCCAAAUUGAGUAUUCCGUUACGAGAUCUCACGAUGGUGCCAAAUAGCCUUAUACCCUCUUGAUAUUUUUGUCUACCCUUACAGACGAUAUAUCGCGGAAGCCACCUACUUUUGCAACGACUUGUGAGGACUAAAUCUUCAUUGAUUAGCUCGACGAAAAUAGAUCACCUUUACUAUUCACAAAUCUUGCACCGCAAGCAUAGUACUUGGAAGCAGUUAGUUCCCAAAUGAUAAAAGCGUAAUCCCCCAUCUAUUCUAGCCACAUAGCCAUAUUAACUGAUAAUCUAUGCAUAUUUGUCACUGGACACGCCAAAUCACUCUUAAUGGAAUGAAAGAAAUCUCUGAUGAGGUUCAAGGCCUACAAAAGAAUCCUCUUUGUAUACCAUCUAAAUAUGCCAUGAGUCUUAGCAAAUGAAUAGUGUUAUAUGAAUGAAUGAGAUGCGCCAAUUGUACAAACACUCUCUAACUCUAGUUGCUUAAUCACAAUAUACACAUGCCACGACGUCGUCGAGAGUAGUUUUAGAGUUAGUUUCUAUCUCACUAGCGUCAAAGACCGGGCCGCUAAGCUCUCAUCCCCGCGACCGUGUAUGACGCCGCCAGCGAAUCGCUGGGGGUGAACCACGCAGUUCUCGGGGUAGACGUGCUGACUCCGCGUCGGCGAACGCGUACAAACUCCAAAAUGUCCUCCGUUGGCAUUAAACACUUGCCGCACGCUCGCACUGAACCUUGUCUCUCCACCCAUUAUAACACAUCGAGUUUCUCCAGUUGUGAUCCUGACGGAUACCGGAGGCGGUUUUAGCAUUGCGGCCCCCGCACACCGCUUCAUAUUUUCUUGUCCUUCAUCUCAAUAGCUUCUCGUUAUUCCGUACUAUGGGCGUACCGUGCUCGCCCACAAAGCUCUACGAGACCUCCGCAAGGUCAAAGCCUUCAAGAUUGCAUCUUUUCGAUAAAUCCUGCGUUACGAAAUCCUUCGCAAUACCAUCCGCCCGGGUCCACAUCACGAAAAAAUCCGAAACAUAUAAUGGUGAGAAUUUGUCUCUACUUGCACGACCGUCGCGAUGGUUUAAAUGCAAACUUCUCUUGUAGCUCCGCUUCACUGGUCGGGGAAUUGUUGCGAACACGCUUCUUGAAAUCUUCCCAAAGAAGAAGAAGAUUGUAGGACGAUCCCGUUCAAUCGUUUCCACUAACCUUGCCGCUUUCUCAAACAAUGCGUGGGAAAGUACACUCUGUCUGUUCCGGAGUUAUUAGAGUCUCGAAGAGCUCUCAUCGAGUCGAUCCAGACUCCACAACCUGGCUCACCAAAUCCCUCGAAGGUUAGGCUCGUCGAUAUUCUUGACUGGAAAUGAAGCGCCAAAUGUUUACUCUGCUCUCGCUUCCGCAUCGACUUGCGCGCUAUCGGAUUCGAAGUUCCCGACCGGCCGGUACUACCGUAACGAACAGCCUUUGCUGCGCCGCUCAUCAAAAACACUCGGACUACACAGGGCGCAACUAUGCCGACACCCGCCUGCGCGCCGCUGCUGGCGCUCCAAGGUCUCCUGGAGCCGCUGAAAUCUGUCCUGGCUUGAAAGAUCCCUUUUGCGCAACUUUUACUUCAUAAGAUGGCAUUUUUUCCCUAAGUCUCGUCGCCACUGCUCCGGAUUGCCGGCCGCAUUCUUUUUUCCUUUUUUUCCAUCGGACCUUGCCUGUGAUCGACGUCGGUCAUUGCUUCUGAAAAGAAGUGAAUCUUCAUUAGUAACUGCCAAUUAUUGAAACACCAAUCUGCAAAGCAAUGCAUCUUUUGCCGCAAGCUCAUUCGUCGGCUGCCGACAAAAACAAGGAGUGGAAACAUAAUGAAUAAAUUAAUUAAUCUCUAUCACAUUAGAGAGUCCCGUUUUGAACCAAUCACAUGCUUCCUAACUUUGAUCCACGUACUCACUUUCUAGAUCCUUAAGCCUGUCCAAUCCUUAUAGGUCUCAGUCUGCAUUCCUUUUUUUCACUUGUGCUUCUGAUUUACCCUUAUCUGCCACGCCCGGACGAUCCAAUUUGGCCCGACCUGACACGUCAACAACGACCGAACAGACAGAGUUUCUCCUGUGCCAAGGCUCAUCAAUGUACAUUUUCAUUCGAAUGUGAAUAGCACUAGCGGAAAUACACAACGUUAACGAAGGUUAACAAUACAUUUGUGAAAGAAAGGGAAAACUAACAUUUACACUAGAAAUAUGAUUAUUUUAGAUCAUAUACAUUGAUUCAUUUCUUACAUUUGGAUUCUUGCUUUCGUUCAUCAUUUCUUUAUACAUAAUUUACUCAAAUAACAUUACAUUCUUUCUUUACACAUUUUACCAUCAUUAAAAAGAUGUCGUUAGGGUAUUAAUAACAAAGUGUAAACGUACUCAACUUGUGGCUCGUCUAAGAUACAUACUUUACUUUGGUGCUGCGGCUCGCCGUCCCGCCUGUGGAAAUAGAUGAUGGUGAGAACUAAACAAAUUCCAGUUUCGCUUCACAUCAAGACUUCCCACUAGCUAAUAGCAUAAUAGAAAAUAUGUUAGUAACAAUCUUAUAACUGAGCUAAUAUGACACUUAAAAUAACAGAUAUUGUCUCAACGUAACAUAUGCAGAUUAUGCAAGUUCUUCUUCUGUACACUUACAUUUACACUUUUCUUGCUCUUUGUUCUUACUUUAAUCCAAGCAACACGGGGUUCCCACAUAACUUGUUCACAUUAAGUCCUCAUCGCAGAAAUCACCGCUAUGAAGUCUCGGUUUACUCCAUCUCGUGUAGAUUGAUAACUCAGAGACGCAUGCUCGAGGUGGACGACCUGCCCUCGGCACAAAUAUAGCAAGUAUAUAAUUAUCAUUAAUCAAAGAUUAUAAGCUUCAACAAUUCUUAAUUCUUUUUACUUUUGCUAACAUCUUACAAUUAUAUUCUUUUACAUUCUUUACUUGGCUACUUAUCACUCGUGUUCUUCAUCCCACAUUACUUUACUUUAGACAUUGUCAUUUUCCUAUUCUUUAUUACAAUAUUUCUUUGCAUCAACUAAACUCUAGUGUCUCUUACUUUACAUUUUCAAAGCACUCGAUCUUAUGUUCAUAGUGUCUUGUUGUUUUUGCUCACUUUGUGCUCACUUCUCUCUAUGCAUAACAUAGAGUUUCGACAUUGACAUAUCUAUUCAUCAUAUUAUGCAAUUCUACUCCAUCAUCAACAUUAUAUUUUAUCAUUACUUUACCUAGUAUGAUGUCAACAAUAUUAAUUAAUAUACAUGCUCAAUUGAAUCACAAUUAAUAGAAAGAAGUUAACGAAGUUGUUUAGAAGCACACCACUGUUAGGUUUCAAAGAGUGUCGCGAUUAUUCUUGGAUUUUAGACACCGGUUCGCUACCGCAAAACGACAGCCCUAAUUAGUUCAUUUGCUCAUAUCUUACAUAUCGUUUUUCUAAACUAAUCCGAGCGCACAACACGUCGAAACCCAUUUAGUUUAGGAGUCAAUUCACUUUAGAAAUCCCUAUGACAAAAGCCAAAUUGUGCAGUCUAUAAUGUAUAUCUAAAACCUAAGUUUUACUCAUAAGUAGAUAGCCAAUAAAUCUUCAUUAUCUCUAAUGUCCAUUGAACAUUCUUGGCUUUUUCAAAACCGUAGAUUAUUGCACAUGAGAUUGGUCCAAGCUCACCUCUAUAGCGCUACCAAGUUUUGAUCUCUAAAGAACAAAUGAGAAAGCUUCAAAAACUCUAAACAAUCAUUAAAAACCAGUUCUAUGUCUAUUCAAUCAUUUCUAGCGUUUACUCAUUAGUGGGUCAAGUUUACAUUGUAACUCUCUCUUUCUUGCAAUAGAGAGGAAGAAGAUGAAGUAUUGCUCCUUUAUCUUCUUCUUCACUUCCUUUUCUUUUCUCUUUUCUUCCUUUUUCUUUUCCUUGUCUGUUAAGAUAAAGAGGGAGAAGAGACAAUGUGAGGAGGGUAAAUGAGAGAAAAUCUCAUUUAGUCAUAAACAACCUAUUGGCUUGCAAAAAGGUCUAUAACCCUCAACUUUUCACGAUUCACACGGCCUGGUACUGGCUUGUUUACAUGUAGAGACCGUUUCCCGAGCAUGGACGUCGUCCCGAAGGUCCACCUCGCACCAGAGCCGCGCAAUCAUCAUCUCCUUGGGGUACGUCUCUCGGGGAUCCGGUCUCUCAGCAGGACGUUACGGAGCUAAUUUUCGGACUUAGCAUUUUUCGGCUGUCAUAUUCCACGCCACGGACCGUGCAUCUCCACAGACCGUCCCGAGAGCCUCAACAAGCUGCAUUUGUAGAUUUUGUAUUCCCUACUCGUCGGAAAACCUGCAAUAACACCUUUUUGAUCUUUAAACACCUUCUGACUUUCCGAAGUGUACCAUCUCGCACUUUGUCAUUUGACUAGAAUCAUAUUUAUUUUCGAAAUUUUCGUAUAUACAAAUUAGGUUGACUAAUGCAAGGAAUAUCUGAUACUACCACGUCACUGGCAGGGGGCGCAGACGCCUUUGCCGCGCUCCUCUUCUUGCAGCCCUGAACCUACAAAUAAAAUAGAGUAGGGGUGAGAACUAUUUCAUAUCCACAUGUGCUCGGUCCGCGACUCUGCAUCCACCCACUAGUCCAAGUGGCUACAAGUAACUAAACUUAGAUAUAUAAUAGUUUAUUGAUUGAAAGCGUAAAUGCAAUAGUUAGGAAACUAUCCUACUUCCAUAAUCAUGCAAUAUGAAUGCAUGAUCAAUAAUAAAGUUUAUAUUCAUGUAACAAUAUCAUCUAUGUUCGAAUAGCAAUUUUCAUAGACAUUAUAUAACCUUUAACCUUUUAUUAUCCCAAUCUUUGCGAGCCCUAAGGCUCCCGAUGACUCACAUUCAAUCCAAGUGGGAGGGAGCUCAAGUGAUCCAAGCGAUCAGCUCCACCGUCUCGGACUCAUUGGCGGACUCCAUAGUUUGAUCUAAGUCGGCGACAUCCGAAUACUCACAAUCCCCUCCAGUCGGAUGAUGACUUAGUACCUGUUCCCAAACGCAGAUUGUGUAGAUCUAGCCUCUCCAAUUAGAUGCCUACAUCUAGGUCAAUACAAUCUAAUUUCAAGUGAGAAUUCACUAUACCUGGUCCCAACCAAUCAAAUCUUCUCAGUGAGUAAGCCGCCUACCAUAGGGUCAAUAUCUCUCCGAUCAUUUGUUUCCUUUAAUUAGUCAAUUUAUUUAGCGUGUCUAAUCAUUUGCUUAACAAGAAUUUCUAGGAUCCACAUCCUAGUCCAUCGACCUCUAUUGUCAUUUACACUCUUAAUGUCACCGUCUAUCAAUUUGGAUGCAUUAUUUCUUAACAUUAUAAUAUUCUAUUCAUCAACACCCCAUCGGGUUCAUCUCAUUUAGCUCAUAGGAUCCACGUUCCGACCCAAUCCUCACCUAUCUAGUUACCAAGCGUUCCAAGUACACUAGGUUAUCAUUUAGAAAGCAUAAGGAAUGGUACUACUAUGCAAUCCUACAAUGCAACAUGAAGAGAUGAGAUUAAAAUGCAAUCUAAGACAUAGAAAGGAGUCCGAAAGCUUCGGGAUGGCACCCCCCACCUUUAAUCGAUGUAGAGGCUUGGGAAAUCCUUCUUGGCGAACUUUACGAAAAGGCUUUAGCCUUCCUCGCUCGAAUCAACACUAGCCCGGCCUGAUUUUGCCGAGAACUUCACGUCGGUUCGCCGAAUGCCGAAAUCGACUUCGCCCCCGCGUUUUGUGACCUAACAAUAGGGUUUCCAAGGCUUCAAAUGAGAUCAAUCUCAUAUUUUCACAAAAACCCCAUUUUGGAGCCCUAGGUUUGCACCUAUAGCAAACCACCCAAUAAAUCCCUAGAUUCUUGGGAUUGAUCUAUUAGAAGCUAGCUUAGGGUCCAUUUGACCCAUUCCAAAGCAUAAAAAUCCAGAAACCCUAAGUAUACAAAGCUAGGGUUUGUAGCUUACCUCUUGAGCUACACCAAUAGAGAAGAGAGAAAGAGAGGAAGAUGCUCGAAGCCUUCCUUAUCUUGUUCUCCUUCUUCUUCUUCUUCUUCUCCUCCUUUUUCUUCUUCUCUUUCUUCUUCUCCUUCUCUUUUCCUUUUUUUUCUAGAGAGAGAGAGAGCAAGAGAGAAAGAGAGGGAUAAAAUGAGAGUGUGAGGGAGAGAGAGGGCUCAGCCCACUCAAAUAAAAGCCAUUUUGCAUAAAAGCCCCUCAACUUUCACUCCUGUGCACUGCCCUUACUAGGUAGUUUUCGCGCGGAGGGACCGGUCUCCCCGACUUGGGACCGGUCCCCGAGAGCUUCCCUCGGGCGCACGUGUUCGGGAACCGGUCUCUCCCCGGGAGACCGGUCCUCACCUGAGAGACCGGUCCCCGAGAGCUGAAUUUUCAGGACUUAGCCAAUUUUGUGGCCACUCUCGCUUGGACCACGUUCGGGAACCGGUCCCUCCUGCCAGGGACCGGUUGCAUCAUGCAACCCCGCAACACCCAGCCAAGGGAACCGGUCUCUCACCUCCAGAGACUGGUUCCCGAGAGCAACAUCAGCCCAAAAGUGCAGUUUGCACCAAUUGCUCUCGCGGACUCAACUCCAAAGCACCUUUUUUGUGUUUUGGACAUUCCAACUCCCACAAAGGGUACACUCUCGACAAUCAGUCGAUCCUGGCUGAAGUACAAUCCUCGGAUUUCGAGAAUUCACUUCCUUACAGAGAGAUUCUAUCUAUUACAUCCAUUCAUCUAUAUACAAUCGAUUUACAUCUACAUUUGUAUCUUCCAAAAUAUAGGUAUGAAUACAACUCUCUAAGAGCACCUCACCACCUAUACAUCAUCUCUGCUCUCAUUUAUAUAUAGAGCGCUACUAAUGCAAAAGGAAGGCCUCUACUGCCAUUAGGGCGCUACGCCCCUACCACGGUCCACGCCCAGCGCACUCGUGCUCGGUCCUGCAACACAGUAGGGUGAGAACUAUUAUCCAUAGUUCCUAGUUCGGUUCGGCCGCUGACUCCGCCGAUCUCCUCACUAGGUCCAAGUGGGC